rnacentral:lncRNA from 1 species
UUGGGUUAACGAAUAAUGAUAACACUCUAUCUUUGGUUUCUUUAUCUUCAAUAGCAUGACCAUCGCCAUUUUGGAACAUCAAUAAAUAUAUUCUUGCAAGGUUCAUAGCAACCUCAAUAAACGUGCGAGAGAAAGGAGAUUUAGCCAUUUGGUCUUCAUUCAUCUUCUUCCAUGUUGCAUCAAUUAAUUUCCUUAUGUGGUCACGAGCUUCUUCUUCUGAUGCUUCACUUUCGUUCAUAUAACAUUGAAUUGAUUUAGGAACAUCACCUCUUUGAAGCUCAUACUAAUCGAAAUUUUUUUAAAAAAAAAAGUCAAACAAGCAAAUCACUAUUAGACUAAUUAACGAAUGGAAAUUUUAAGUUGAUAACUAUAUAUAUUUAUUAAUAUAUAUUGCUUACCAAUGAUGUCCCUAAAUCAUCUACGAAUCGUACAAUUAUGGACGACCAAUAAAUUAUAUCGCAGUAAUAUUGCUGAAUGUGGUGCAAUCCCUCUUCUGUUAUAAGAUCAGUUGCCAAAUAGGAAUGACCAAGCAUUACAAAACCCGAUAUUGAAAUCCAAGCAUUAUCAAUGUACUCUCACAGAGUUGGCGUAUAUCCAAUGUAAUACCAUUUUACCUCCAACAAAUAUGAUUUACAAAGAUUCAUCCACUGAACAUUUAUGUUAAACCAUGAACAACACAAAUCAGACAGAGCUCAUAAGGAAAAGCAAAAAAGAAUCUUAGGAAUUGGUUUAAUACCAUUUUCUUGAGAAAGGGAAGGACAUCUAUCCCUUGUUCCUUACGGACAUCGAAAGCCAUUUCAUUUACGGAAUUGUAAAGCGCAUGGUAACAUAUUUUCAUAUAGUUUGGAAGCUUUUGUAUUUGAUUUAUAUCUCAUCUAAAAUUACACCAACACAUUAAAGAUUAUUAAACAUUUGUAAGAAAUAUCAAAAGCAGAUAAAAUCAUAUAGUAGUACAACUACAAACCUCUCAACAACAUCUGUAAAGAGUUCCAACUCAUCUAAGGUUCCAUAAACAUCAUAAACAUCAUCUAUAACUAUUAUUAGCGCAUUGACCUUUGUCUGAAUUCUUCUACCUUUUCUAUCGGAGUAUUUAUCAUUCCCACACUCUAUAAGAAGUUUUCCAUUAGCCUAUCUCUAGCAAAGCUCAAGGUCUUGCCAAGUCCAAGUUCUUUCCACCACCUAAAUAAUACAAGUGGAAAAAGAAAACAAAAUCAUACUUGCGUUGAAGCAUAUGCGAGUCAACUUUAAACUAGUAUGCAGUAGGAAUGCUUACGUUGAAGCAUAUCUAAGAUAAUCCUGGUGCAUAGAUUGCACUAUGUUGUAAUCCAAUAUAGCAAGCUCUAAAAUAAUGGGAUUUUUGUCCUUUUUUAUCUCAUACAUAUCUAUGAACCAUCUGGCUUCCAACCUUGGCAUCCUCCAAUGUAAAGGAAGCACCAAGGCACGUUCCACAAGCAUCUAAAGAUAUUGAUGAUCAUUGUUCUCCUUCAGACAUUGUUUGAGAAGUUUGGCUGCUAACUUUCUUGUAUUCUCCAGCAUUGUUUCACCUUCUAAUAAGUGGUAUGAAGCCUCAUACAAGUUGAUUAGUCCCUUGCAAUCUUGAUUUUGGCUUGCUUUAAUGUCUUCAACUUCAUCCAUGAAACAACCGAAAACAUCUAGUGUAUGAAAAUAAUUCAAUGUUAUGUGUUUUCAAAUUUGAUGUAAAUUAAAAUGUCCAAUUUUGAAUUGUUUCUUGUGUUGUACCUUGAUUCACUUUAUACCCGUGUUACCUUAGCAAUCUAAAUUCAAGAGCUAUAGCAUAUAAAUUGUCUUUGUUCGAUGCAACAGUACUGCUAUUUUUAAUCUACUCCGCUGCAACUUCAGGGAGAUAAGGCUUGAUAUGAUGACUUCAAUCCAUCCCACUGCAAUUUCAGGGGUAUGGGUAACUUCAUUGAUCUAUUCUCUGGGGAACAUGACCUGUAAAAUCCAUUUCAUGGACCUAUUUAUGCCUAGUGUUUAGGAUGUCAUGAUUAGAAUGAAUCAAAUGCUCCUAACUAGAUGUGUAUGUAUGAUAUUUGUAAAAUGUCAUGAGAAUGAUCCCGUUUUAAUGCUUAGGUUGUCAUUGCUCAAUGUUCAUCAAAGUUCUAUCACUGAUGCCUUCUUGUUUAGCCGGUAUCUUCAACAGAAAAACCAAAGAAAUGGUCGCACUUUAGACUAUUCUUUCUCAAAUGCUUCCAGCCCUUAAGUUGGUUAGUUCUAAAAAAUGGCCCUGUUUCAAGUCCUCACAUUAUUUAAAAACUUUCAGAGUAAUAUGCAGAACUCCUUUUGCUUGAAUAUUAUCAGUCCAUUAAUCGUUAUUUGAAUGAGAAAUGCCUGAAAAAGAUUAUCAAAAUGGACAAGAUGAAAUUUUGUUGAGAUCAAAGCUCGAAAUGAAUAGAUUAAUCGAGAUAGCAAAUUUUGCUAGAAUGAGAAUAAAUUAAUCAAGAUGGCACGUUUUUCCAAAAUACAAAAAUGAAUAUAAUAGAAAUAGGUGCCCCAGAUAUCGUAGCAUGAGCUUCUCUGCCCCAAGCUCAUUGAGGACCCUUUUGAACUUUAUACGUGUUUAGAAGUCCUAGAAGACUUUGAUGAUGUCCCAAGAUGUAGCACCUCUCAUUCUUGCUAAUUUGGAGAGGACAAGACUACUGCAUGCCCCACCUUCGAUCAAAACUUGAAUAGCCCAUUUCUGGGUUUUCAAUUCAAAACCUUUUUCGUCUCAAGGCGCCCUUUGCGGGUUUUCACCUUGGCCUCUCAUUUUUCUUUUUCUUUUUUCUUUUUUCUCUUUUUUUGAAACAUUUUUUGAUUGAAUUUGAACUCAUAGGAUUGGGUAAGUCCUUGUUAUCCCUUCCAGUCAAAAUCAACACUUUUCCAGAUAAGACCUUUCACAUAAGAUCCUUCCCAAUUUGGUAUCCACUUCCUUCUGAAGUCUUUUGUAAGGGGAGGAUCUUCUUCGAUACCAGGUCCUCCUAAGGGAAUUCUCUAGGGUGAACCUUCUUUGGUGAGCUCGCAUCAUUUAUUUUUUGGUGCAUUUGACUGUGACGGAUAACUUUGAAAGUUUCUCUUUAAUCAGGAUUGGAUCCAAAGACUCAAAGAGAAGGAAUCUCAGCUUCAAUGGGCAAAACCGCUAUAAGCCAAAGCGAAAGGUGUUGCCUCAGUAGAGUUUUUUUGGUUUUUUUAGUUUUUUCUCACCGCGUCGUUCAUCUUGGUGCGAUAUGGUGUUAAUCUUGAACAAACUGUAAACUUUUGAUAUCGUGCUGUUGUUCAAAUUCAAUGCAUUGUCUGAUAUGAUGCUUUUGGCAUUCCAUACUGACAGCUGACUAUCGACUUCGUGCCAUUUGCAUAUAAGGCAGCUUCCACCUACUUAGUGAAGUAAUCGACGACCACGAAGAUGAAUCAAUGACCACCAAAAACUUUUGGCGAGAUUGGCUUGAUGACAUCCAUACCCCACAUAGAGAAAGGUCAUGAUUUCUAUUGAUUCUUUGGAAGGUAGGAUCUUGUUUUCAUCUUGUUCUCUCAUUCUUAACAAACCAAGAGAUAAGCUACAGUCUCGGUCACCUUCAAAGUCCUAAUGUUCCUCUGGACACAUAUCUUGCUCAAAAGGAGGUUCUGAGUCAAUAGCAGUAUCGCUCAUAUCAUUGAUAUCUGGAGACCUGUUAUAGGAACGAAUGUACAUCUAAAGAAUAAAAGAACCCAAGAAUAUUCAUUUGUAUAGUAUGAUUAUGAAUGAAAUGGAAACAAUAAAAGAAUAUUUGGUCGAAGUGAGAAACGAAGAUGCAUUUUAUUAAAAUAAAGAUUUUGGACAUAAGCCUAUCUCACAAAAGGAUUCUUAUUGCUCCUAGGCUUAGAGCAAUAAGCAUGUUUUAGAUAUUACUCUGAAAUAGGUCUAAAAAGUUCAGGGAUCUUGUAAUACCCCGAAAAUUUUUACAGUAAGAUAUUAUCUUUGAUAUAGUAAGGAAAUAAAGUGACAAAAAGGAGAAUUUUGAGUUAUGACAACAUUGGGAAGUAUAUAAUGACAUAUUAAUUAAAGAAAAUAUUAAAUUGCAAAAGUGAGAAAAGUUUUGUUAUCAAAGAGUAAAUACUCAAAAUUUGAGGGGUUAAAGUGUAAAUAUGAAAAAGUUAAAGGACCAAUAGUGUAAACAUUUUAAGGGUGGAAUAAUCUAGAAACUAAGGAAAAUAGAUGAAUUGGGACCAAAUUGAAUAGAUGAAGAAUUAUGAGGGACUAAAUCGUAAUUUUACCAAAUUAAGUGAUGACUCAAUGGUGGAAUUUUAAAAUAUCUAAAGGGAAAAAUGGUCAAUUAGAAGAAAGAGAAAUCUAGAAAAUAAUGAUGAUGUUGGAGAUAUUUUAGAUCAAAUAAAUAAAUAAAUAUUAGUUUAUUAAUAUUUUAAUUUGAUUUUUAAAUUACAUUUUAUCAUUUUAUUAUUAUUUUAUUUAGUAUAUAUAUAUUUGUGGAAGAAAAGAUGAAGAAUCAUCUUCCUUUCCCAUGCAUUUCACGUUAGAAGAGAAGAGAAGAAAGAAAGUUUUGCUUUCUUUACAAUUUGGUCCUUCCACCAAAAAUUUACCAUUUUCACCUAGAAAUCAAAAGAAUUUUCAUAGCUACCAAGAGAGAAAAUUGUUAAGGAGAGAGAAAAUCAAGUUAAAGAUUGAAAUCAAUAUAGCAAGGUAAGAACAUCAAGAUUUCAAUAUAUUUUUAAGUUUAAUAUUGUUGAAAAAGUAUGAAAUUGAUGUUAAUGUAAGGUUUUAUUAUAUAAAGUUCUAUUUUCUUGAUAUGUUAGUGAAGGGAAACAAGAGGAAUUGAUAGAAAAUAUUGUAGAGAAAGGAAAUGAGGGUGUUAUAAAUUUGAUUAUCAACAUCUUGUACUAAAACAGUUUUGGACAGCAGUAGUAGGUUAACUUUGUAAAAUCACCAUAAAUCGUGGAAAUUGAAUUAGAGGAUGAAAAAAUAUUUAAUUAAAGCUUCUUGAGUCUAGUUUCUCAUAGAAGAAACUGUGUAAGUAAUGGAAUUGUAAAUCAUGAGAUAUAAUAAAUUUUGCUAGAUAAGGUCAGAAUGAAUUCGAGUUCCCCUGUUCUAACUUGGAAAAAUCAUUAAAAAUUGUAUAAAAAUAAUUAUGGGUUAUAAUUAUUUAAAAUCCUUAAUGAUUCUAUUUUAAAUAGAAAUAAACAGGGACAUCAUCCGAAUUCUAUACAAAGAGAUAAUUAAUUUUUAGUGAAGAGGGGUCGAAACUGUUGAACAAUGAAACAGGGAAAACUUUAAAGCAUAAACUGUACUUAUUGGCUAAACCAAAAAUUCUGAAAAUUUUAUGGUAAGAAGAUAUAUGAGUUUAGUUUCAGGGAAAAUUAACGGAUCUUAAUUUGGAACUCUGUAGCUCGAGAUAUAAAUAAAUUAGUGACUCUGACUCAGACCGACAACUUGAAUUUACAUACAGGAAAAUAGUGAUAGUAUGGAUAAUGUUGUUUAAAUGUGUUAUACACAUUAAGGAUAUGGAAUGGAGAGGAGGAAUAGGAAAAUUGUGAACUAUAUGAAUGAUUUGUGUAUAAUUGGUCAUAUGCUUGAUUAUAAUUGAUAAAUGAUGAAAUAGAAAUGAUGUUUAUAUUUGUGCAUUAUUGGUCAUGGUUUAAGCUCAUGUGUGAAAAUAAAGUUUCAUAGUAUGUGUGUAUGGUAUAUUCGAUAUAUGAUUUGGCAUGAAAUAAUGUCAUGAAUGGUUUAUGAAUUAACACAUGUUGGUAAGCAUGAUACAUGAAUAAAUGUUGUGCUCAUCCAUGUUUAUAAUGCUUAUGCUAUAUGUGUAUUUGGCUAACAUAUUUGGCGUACAUGCUUAGGCUUUGGCCAAGUAGUGGUUGGAUUAUGCCACGUUAAAUUUAUAAGUUAUGCAUUGAAAUGGUAAGUGCCUAAUUGGAAAUAUGCUUGUGAUCAUGAAAAGGGUGGUAAGGUUUAAAUUAUGUAAUCUCUAGUGAAAUGGUUUAUCAUGUGGUUAGUUCCAAAAAGAGUUAUGUUUAAAUACACUAGCUUGCGACUAUGGUUGAAUGAUAUGUUUAUAGCUUGUGUGAUGUGCAUAGGAAACGAGUGUAGAAAGAUAAUGAAAUAGUAAGUUCGUAUGGCUGAAAUUUAAUGAUUAAAUGUUAAUUUUAUGAAUUAUAUAAUGUAUGAUGAGAUAUAUUUGUUGAUGUUUUGAGAAUAAAAUAACAAUGAGAAAACCGAAUAAAUGAUCAAAUUGAGCGGAACGUCGGAUUUGAGUACUUCUUAAAUGACAAGUGAUAAGUGGUAGCUUUAGCUACACUUAUCUGAUCGGUGACAAGUGACAAGUGAUGAGUGGAAGCUUUAUCUACACUUAUCUAAUCAGUGACAAGUGAGAAGUGAUAGCUUUAACUACACUUAUCUGAUCAGUGACAAGUGACAAGUGAUGAGUAGUAGCUUUAGCUACACUUAUCUGAUCAGGGACAAGUGACAAGUGAUAAAUGUGAUCUGUGUAAGACCAUGUCAGGGCUAUGGCUUCGGAAAGUGCUAAGUGAUCAUACGCAAGACCAUAGUUAUACAAUGGCAAAGUGGAAGUGAAGUACUCAAUUUUCCAUAACCGUACCCUAAUUUGAUUAAGGAUGGUAAGUGACAAAAGAGCCCAAAAGAAUUAUAGUAAAUGGAUAAGUGGUAGUGAAUUUAUACCAGGAUGAUGAGUUGAGUUGAUGUUGUUAUUUAAGCUAAAGUGAUAUUUUCAUUGCAAAUUUGAGAAUUUCAUAAAUGUGUUAAUGAAUGGUAUAAUCAAUAAACAUUGAGAUAAAUGAUAAAUACGUAUUAGUAUUGAACUUAGUGAUCUGAAUUGUGAACAUGAGAAAUUUGUGAACUGAAUGAAAUGGAAAUAGAGCAUUGAAUUAUUAAGACUUGUGAAUUGCAUGAAUAUGUAUCGGGUCUCGUAGGUCCUAUUUAUUAUGAAUAUAAUAUUUUGAGGAUAUAUUAUGAAGAAUUAUAAAAUCAUGUUAAUAAUUUGAAAGUUCUAAUUUAGAUGAAGUUUUAUAACUCGGUUAAAUACGUUUACAAGAGUGUGUGUUCUGGUAAUGCCUCGUACCCUAUUCUGGUGUUGAAUACGGGUAAGGGCUGUUACAGAUCUCUUCAACUGUCCCAUUGUUCAAACCACUCUCAAGUGUGUAAGGGUAAACGUGAGAUAAUUCUCCUCCCCGGCUCCUUUGGAUAUGGCGUUCAAAUUUCCCAACAUUCCUCCCGGUCCUUUGACUUCUUCAAAGAAUUCCAACUCUUUAUUAUCCAUUAGUCUUUGUACUAAAGCUUUGAAUUUAACACACUCUUGGAUUUCAUGUCCUUCUUCAGUGUGGAACUCACAGUAGCUCCUCAUCCCUUUUGGUCUCUUCUCCUAAUUCUGAAUGAUUAAUAUCAUGUCUAUCAUUUGUUUCAAAACCCAUUUCAGUGGGGUUUUUACUUUUGCAACAUUGGUUUUGAUUCUCUUUCCUCCAUUCUCAAUUAUCGCAUUGACCCCUGGGUCUGAACGACUGGGUAACGGAUUUUCUACUACAUUAGGUCCUGAUGGAUCGUCAAACUUCACGAUGCCCAUCUUGAUGAAUCUUUCGAUUAACUUUUUAAAUGUAGUACAGUUUUCAAUGGAGUGUCCUGCUAUUCCCGCGUGAUAUUCCCAUUGGGCGUUUGCAUCAUGCCAUUUUGGGAACGGAGGUUGUACGGGUUCCAAGUAAAAUAGAGCUACCACAUGCGCAUCAAACAGAUUCUGAUACAGCUCUCUAUAUGUCAUUGGGAUAGGUGUAAACUGGAGUCUUUCUGUGCUUGGCCUCUAGUUGGAUUCUUGCCUUGAGGGGCCUUGGUAGCUAGCAGCUACCAUCCUUGGCUGGCCUACAGUGAUCGAUUUAGAAUACCCUUUAUUAUACAAGCUCAGUUGCUCACUUCAUUUUCUUUGUUCUUUGGGGUUAAUUUUUUAACGCUUUUUCCCGUAUCUAUCUUCUCACUUCUUAUGGCAUUUUCAAUCAUCUUUCCAGACAUUACCAUAUCUGAGAAGCUCAUGGUAGCGCUUCCCAACAUAUGGUUAAUGAAUGGGGCUUUCAGAGUGUUGAUGAAAAGCACCGUAGUUUCUUUCUCCAAAAGAGGUGGCUGGACUUGUGUUGCUACCUCUCUCCAUCUUUGGGCAUAUUGCCUAAAAUUCUCACUUUGCCUCUUUUCCAUAUUCUGCAGUGUGAUUCUGUCAGGUGCCAUAUCUGUCAUGUGGCCGUAUUGCUUCAUGAAAGCUUCUGCCAAGUCCUUCCAUGAGCUAACUUUAGCAUGACUCAACUGGUUAUACCACUUGGCUGCAGACCCGAUCAAACUGUCUUGGAAGCAGUGGAUUAACAGUUGAUGAUUGUUGACAUAUCCUGUCAUCCUUUGACAAAACAUAGUGAUAUGAGCUUCAGGACAGCUAGUCCCGUUGUACAUUUCGAAUUCUGGCAUCUAGAACUUAGGAGGGAGAACUAAGUCAAGGACCAAACUCAGGUCUUUAGCAUCGACCCUACAAUGAUAAUUAGCAUUCUCCAUUGCUUUAAACUUUUCCUCUAGCCACCUACACCGAUUCUCAAGUUGCUUCGGUAGAUCCACUCUUACUUUCUCCACUUCUGCCACGUCAUCAAGAUCAGGAACAACGGGGUUGAUUGGAUUAUCUCCUAGAUUAGAACCAGAGCCUGUUUGAAAGUUUAUUUGUACCGAGGCACCAGCCUAAUAUUGAGUCUAAUAGUGACAGGUACUCUUUAUGGGCACAUAUCUGGUUGUGCCUGGGUGCUCGUCGGGGUGAAACCUGGAGGAUAAAUAGGGUCCUUAUGAUCAACCCCAGAAUCAACUCCAGGACUUUUUCCUUUAUCAUUACCUCCAGCCAAUAACUACGCCAAUUGGCUCAUCAUAGUUCUUUUGGAUUCUUGCAUGUCUUGUUGGAUUUUAUCCAGUCGUUCUUGCAUCUGAUCUUGCAUCUCCUUUUGCAAUUGUUCCAAUCUUUCUAACAUUUGAUCCAUUGUUUUUGUUUUGCGACGAGUACCGUAGUGAUAUUUUGUUGGUGGAUUCUUGUUGGUUUCCAGAUUAACUGAAACAAUCUCAUUUAAUUAGGGUCGUUUCGUGAAACUUAAUGCAAAUGAUGCAAUAAAAUGUAAUGCAGAUGAAUGGAAUGAAUGCAAAAAGAGACGUUGAUUCCGAUUCAAUUCUAUUAGAACAACUUUACUAGAAAACAAAUCUCUUUAUAUAAAACAAAUAUUUACAUAUUCGGCCUUGCCCUAAAACUCAAAAUGAAGACAUCGACCCCUUUCCUCAUAUCCAAAUGCUAAGAUCGACCCUCGUAAUUCUCCAAAAAGGUGCCUCUUCGAUCUCCUUUUUGCAUGAUCCGAGCCGCGACCCAUUGUUCGCUCAUCCUCGUGAUGCUUGUUGGCUACUUUAAAAGAAAUAGAACGUUAGCGGCUCUCGAAUAAUCUUUAUCACCUUGAAUCCUCAGGCUACGAAGCAAAGCCGUGUACUCAUUCAUCAAACUAUCACAUUUAGCUCGUUACGUUUUCUCGUGCCAUAUUUAGAUGAACGCAUUGUCUUCCAUUUUAUCAAGAAACUCAUUUUCUUAUGACAAGCUUUCUAUUUAGAUACUGAACGUGAAUCAACACUUCUUUUAUGAUGAAAAUGCUAUGCGAUCACAGUCAAAGCAAAACAAAGCAAGUCAGUAUAACACAAAACUAAAAUUUAAAGCAUACAAGAAAUAAUAAUUAAAGCUACCAUUUAGGAAACCACUAGGGUUCGGUGUGGUACCUAGGGUAGGCUCCUAGGGCUUACUAUAUGUGGUUCGGUUCUAAAGUAAUGGUACCUGAACCGGCAGAUUCCUCGAUCUUCACCUAUUAUAAGCUCAUACGGACUGAGUUCAGUUCAGAGGAAUACAUUUCCCUAUGGCCAUGCAGAGAUGAAAAUCUCAUGAAAAUAUAGGUACGGAUGUAUCCCAAAAGCGAUUCACUAUCCCAUGCAGAGGUGAAAACCUCAUGAAGGCGUAGUUUCUCACACCCACUUAAAAGGGUAAAUCGAAUGAUUUAUGCAAAUGCAAUAUGCCAAAAGAUAUAUCAAGACUUGUACAGAUAAAGCAGACAUAACAAAAUGGUGCAAAAAAUGAAAUGCAACGAAAAGAUCGUAAAUUUAAACCAAAUUGUCAACUUUCGACAAAAAGAAAAGAAGUAAUCAACUCGUGGCUUGACUCUCUUAUUUUGGGUCCCCAGAGGAGUCGCCAAUCUGUUGACACCAUUUUUUUGUGAAAACAGGGUCGACUUGGAUUUUGAAAAUGAAAACGAAAAUGGGAGUCGCCACCAAUCCUUUUUUAUGAGGUGUGAUCGGGUCACCUCGAAAAGUGGUUGUUUUUAAUAAGCAAUUUGAUUUGAUUAAAACAACAAUUUUGGUCCACGAAAUUUAGAAAAACGGGUUCGAGAGUCGGUCACAUUCGAGGAAGGAUUAGCACCCUCGUAACGCCCAAAAUUGGUACUUAGUUGAUUAAUUAAUGUCUUAAUGUCAAGAAUUGAAAACUUUGAAGAUAUUCAAAAUACGAUCCUUUGUUAAAACGCUGAAAAUUUUCAUGGAAAGAGGGCAUAUUUCACGUUAAUCGAGAAAAAAAUUAUAUCCAGUAAGUUAGGACACAAUAUCUUUAAAUCCCCAAACGAGAAUAAACACCAAGAGUUUUAUUAUUGUUAAAAAAACAUUUGAUUAUCUCGAUUUUAGAAAAAUAAUCAUAUUCCGUAAGUUAGAACACAAUCUUUUCUUAAUUCCCGAGAUUAUUAAAAGUUUCGUUUUAAAACGUUCGUUUAUUCGAAUUUAUCGAGGAAAUCGAGACCCCGUAAGUUAAAGUAUGAUUUCUCGAAUCUCAAAAUACGAGCAAAGUUCAUUUUGACGAAACAAUUUUUAUACAUUAAGUGAAAUAUAAAACGGUUUCGCGAUGAAAUGUCAAAAAUUUGAGUGAUCGCGUUUGCGUUCAUAGCAGAAUAACAAGCAUGCUAAUAUAAGUAUCGAGUUAAGACCUAACAUUGCAUAAAUAAAUAUCGAAUAAAUGACAAUGAUGAUAUUGAUGAUAAUGAUAUUGGUAAUAAUAUACAAUUCCCAACUUAUACAAAAGGAUAUAAAUGCAUGAUAAGAUUAAAUAAAUGUAUACAUUUAUGUAUGUAUUAGGUACGUAAGCACGAAAAAUAUAAUACUAAUAGUAAUAAUAACGAUAAUAAUAAUAGUAAUAAUGAAUGUUAAUAUUAAUAAAUAAAAAACAUAAUAAUAAAGUUAAUAAUAAUAAUGAAUAAUCGAAAUUUGAAAGUGUGUAUAACAAAAUAUAAAUAUGUAAAUAAAUAAAUAAUGAAAUGACAAUAAUUAGUGUAAAAGAUAAAAUAAACAAAAAUAAAAAUAGGAAUAAUGAGAAUAAAAACAAAAAUAAGAUAAAUAAAUAAACAAACUAAUUAAAAAUAUGAGUAUGUAAAUAAAUGAAAAAUUUUAAAAAUUUAAUAGAGAACCAAUAAAUAAAUAAAUGAGUGAAUAUUAGGUAAAACAAAUUAAUAACAACAACAACAACAACAACAAUAAUAAUAAUAAUAAUAAUAAUAAUAAUAAUAAUAAUAAUAGUAAUAGUAAAAUAAAAUAUUAGUAUUUGUAAUAAUGGAAGUAAUAGUAACAGUAAUAAUAACAAUAAUAGUAGUAGUACUACUACUACUACUACUACUAAUAAUAAUAAUAAUAAUAAUAAAAGGACAAAAAUAAAAAAAAUAGGAUUUAGGGGAUAGAUUUUAAAAUGAAAUAGUAAAGGAUAAUAGAGGACUAAAGUAAAACGCGCACCAAGAAGGAAAGACCGAUUAGGAAAAUAUCCCCAACCUUAUGCGCAGCGUUUCAGCGCGAAUUAAAAUGAAAUAAAGAGAAAAAUAUCGGGCAAAAUUAAAAGAAAAGAAAUAAACGAAAAGGACUAAAUUGCAAUGCGCCGCAAAGGCGGAAGGACCGCGCGCAUAAAUAUACCAUUGGUUGAAAACAUGCAGAUCCUCCAGGCGAGUUGGGUUGAAAUUUAGGUAAGGGCAAAACGGCCUCGUUUUGGGGCUUCAAAAUCCUGCCCCAAACGACGUCGUUUUAGGGAUUUAUAAAUACAAAAAAACAAAGCAUUCAAACCCUACUUUAAAAAAAAAACAAAAGUCUUUCUUUUUUUCUCUGUUCUCUCGUUGGAAUAGACCCAGAAUCCGGCAGAGUGGGCCAUCGUGGCUCCGCCGCGGCGCUGCCAUAGACGAUGGCCGGACGCUGUCUCAGGUAAGUUUUCGCCUCAUUUUUCUUCCCUUUCUUAGAUAUUCUCUCUGUAUAUGUAGUUUUUAAGUCAAAAGGAAAUAAAUAAUAAUAAAAACCUUUGAAUAUAAAUAGUCCCAAAAUCGAAAAUAAAGAAAAUAAAAAGGACCUUUCGUAUUUUUGUUUUGUUUUUAAUCUGCUUUGCCUUUGUUGUUUUUGCCUGAAUCUUUGUUUUUUCUUUUGUAUUCAAAAAACAAAAAUCUCGGAGAGCUACAAUCGGUUCAAAAUAAUGGCUUUAUAGCCGAAAUUACAAUAUGUUUAUUUGGUUUUUUGCUUCUUGUUUUUUUUCUGUGCUGUCUGCUUCUGUUUGUUGGCUUCUUGCAAGUGGUGUUAGAGAAGCGUCAGGCGGUGGCGUGCAGGGAGGUGGCUUGCGGCAGCAGCAAGGCUUAGGGUUGGAGCAGCGGCUAGCUAGGGUUUCCCUUAGCUGAUAUUUUUUAGUUUUGUGGGUUGUUUGGGCUUUAGGUUUUUUAGUUUUUUUUUUGGGUUUUAAUUUGUAUUUGGGCUGAAGUCUGUUUUAGGUUGGUGAGAUAUUUGGGUUUUAUUUUGUCUGAUUUGAGUGUUUUGGGCCCAGGAAAAAUUUGGGCCUUACAGUUUAUAUGAGAUAUUAUUUUACGGUUUUAAUAAGUGACAUCGGAGUCUCGUCAUAUUAAACCAUUGAGAAAAAAAUUGAUUUUUUAUUAUUUUUGGAUUAAUUCGUUAUGAAUAAUUUAUGGAUUUGAUAUAUGAAUUAAAUGUUUUUAAUCAUACAUGUUAAAUAUUUUGAAUUUAUGUAAAGAAAAUUAAGGUUUUCAUUUUUUUUUCAAUUUUUAACUUUGGUCUUCGAUUAUUAAACCUCAAUUAUGAAUAUUUACAAUCGAAUUAUAAUUCAGGAUUCAACGUUUGAAUUAUAUUUGCAAUAGAACUCAAUGUAUGGUUGUAUUAUAUAAAAAUUGAGGAUGUUCUCGUACAAAUACUCCAGCAUAUAUAUUAAGUAUCAUAGAAUUGUUUGAAACCCAAAAUUGAUUGGAUCUAAUGUGCCGCUGAGUUAAGUUAGUAUUCUGCACUUAUUUGUCUAUGAUUUUAAAUUUUCAUUGAAUUCCGUUGUCUUUAACUUUUGAAUCUCAAAGCUUUCAUGUUUGAUUUAUGGUGAUUUUGUGGACUGAGAUGAAGCUUGUGUAACUGUAUUGAAGGCAUUAUUAUUUGUUUUCUUUUCAAAAGGUUAUAGUGUUUGUCUCUUUGAUUAACUUUUGUCUGCUCACGCGAAAGGCACGAGUUUCUAGUGACAUUUCCUUUUUUAAUAGAUUACAAGUAACAUUAAGUUUAUUAGAAAAUUUUAUAGGAACUUUUUUGGUGCUCGGUGAAAAUCUAUGUCAAUCAUAAUAGCUGUUUAAAGAUAUAAGUUUUGGCAUCUUAUGGUUCCAAAUAUUUAGUUAAAUUAUUAUGAUAUGAUUUAUUGUAUGAAUUGUGGGAUAUGCCAACUAUUAUGAUUUUGUUUUUUAGAUUUAUUAGCUUGAAUGGAUUUUUCAAGUAUUCAUGCAAAUCUCUGUUUAAUCAUUAAUACAAUUUUAGAUUUACAUGUUAUAUGCAGGGUAAGUUUCUCUAUUUGAUUUUGAAUACAUGUAUACGCGUGAAUUGCUUUGGUGUUUUUUUCUACGCCAAAAUUAUGAAUAUAUGUACUUGUUAAUUGUUAUGAAAUUUUUAAAUUUGAAUAUUGGAAUAUUUAUAUAUUUUAAAAUAACUUCAUCGAAGAAGUAAGUCGUCAAAGCGAUCUUUUUUGUGUAAAUUAUUUUGUUUUAAAAUAUAAAAGGUUGUGUGCAUGUAACUUAAGUUAUGUUAAUAUUGAUCGGCCCAAAUGAAGGUUAAUUAUAUUACAUGUGCAACUAUGGUAAUAAAAAUGUGACGAUUAUUCGGUUUUACAGGUGAGUAAUAAAUCAGCCCAAAGAAAGAUUUAUUUUUCGACAUAUUUUUUUUAUUGUUAGUGUUUGAUUACUACAUUAAGAUAUCACUUACAAGUUAAUAUUUUGUCCAAAUAUGAAAUAUUAAUGGAGUGUCCGAUAUCUUGAAAUGAUGUUUACCUUUAUUGAAAUUAUUUUAGUUUAAAUUUUAAAUAUUUUGAAAUAAAUAAAUUCAAAUUUUUGCUUUAGGGUUUAAUUGAUGAUGUCUAAUAUUUUAAAUAGAUUAGUUGAAACAAAAUAUCUCCAAAGUGACCUCUUUUGUGUAGAUUAAUUUAUUUAAAAUAUCAAGAUCAUUAUAUAUUUUAUUUCAUUUAUGUGUUUAUUAAUUGACCUAAAGGUAAGCUAAUAUUUAGCAUAAUUUCAAUAACAUCUAUGGUGAUAAAUGUGUGACAAUUAUAAGGUGCUUUAUAUGAGCAAUAAGUUAGUCCAAAGAUUGAUUCAUUUUUUGACGUAGUUUAUUGUCAAUAUUUGAUUGCUACAACAAGAGUGCCGUUUACUGUUAAUAUUACUAUUCAAAGACUUGAUAUUAAUGUUGUGUUUAGUAUCUUGAUAUGAGAUUAGCCACUAUUUUGAAUUUAUUGGUUACUUAUGAAUAUUCAUUUGAGCUUCUUUUUAUCUAUUUUGUUCUAUAUUCAGCUAAUUCAUCUUCUACUGCCACAAUAUUUGCUAAUAUAAAUUUUUAUACCCAUGCUUAAUGGGACUAAUUUCAAUGAAUGAGAAAGACAAUUACUUAUAGUGCUUGACUGUAUGGACAUAGACCUUAUACUAAGGGAAGAACAACUCGCACCUCUCAUUGCAAAAAAAAAACACCCUUAUGUUAAAAGGGUUUUUGAGAGGUGGGAUCGUUCAAAUUGCAUGAGUCUAAUGAUCAUGAAGCACAACAUUCCAAAAGCCUUUAGAGGCAUAGGAUCUAAAGAAAUUACUCAAGCCAAGGUUUCCUUAACGAAAUUAAGAAAUGUUUUUCCAAAAAUAAUAAGGUUGAGGUGACAUCACUUCUGACUUCUUUGAUGUGUAUGAAGUAUAAGGGUCAAUGAAAUGUAAGGGAGUACAUUAUGGAGAUGUUUCAUGUUGCUUCAAGACUUAAGGAACUUAAGAUUGAGCUUUCUGGUUAAUUGUUUAUUUUUAUGGUUUUGGUAUUGCUUCUUUGCACAGUUUAAACAAUUUAAAAUUAGUUACAACUGUCAAAAGAGGAAAUGGACUCCAAAUGAGCUCAUUUCUCAUUGUGUGCAAGAGGAAGAAAGGUUGAAACAUGAUAAGUCUGAAAGUGCUCAUUUGGUCAGUACCUUUAAAGAUAGCAACUUACAUUCUUAAUAGAAUAGCCACUAAAGUAGCUACAAAAACACCUUAUGAGCUUUGGAUAGGUCAAAAGCCUAGUCUAAAGCACUUUCACAUGUAGGGAUGUCCAGUUGAGGCAAAGCCUUAUAGGCCACAUGAAAAUAAAUUAGAUUCCAAAACAAUGAACAACUACUUUAUUGGUUAUUCUGAGAGAUCUAGAGGCUGAGUUUUGUGAUCCCACAAUUAGGAAUAUUUUUGAGACAAGAACUGCAAUAUUUUUUUAGGAUGUUGAGUUUGAAGGGAGAAAUAAGGUUAGAAACAUUGCUUUUGGGGAGGAAAUGGAUUCUAACUUAGUUCCUGCUAUCACUGUUGACGAUGAUCAAGUUCUCAUACCUACCAUUGAUCAAGAAAUGAAUCCAGAACUUUAACAAGACAAUGUUGAAGAGCUUUCUAUCCAAGAUAAGGUAAUUAUUUUACUCAACAACCUCAAGAAAAAAUGUCAUUAAGAAGAUCCACUAGAGAAAGGAUUAUAAUGGCUUUAGUAGAAAUAUUUUGACCUUAAACUGCAUUAGAUUAAUGUUAAGUUAAUGGUUUCUUGAUGGUAACAUUGAUCAUAUAUUUUAAUGGUUCCUCAAAUGGGUGUAAUCACGUUUAAGGAUAUUUGGUUUUAGUGGGAGUUUGUACUUUUAAAUGCUUUUACGUUAUAAACACAUUUUCAGUUAUUUUAGUUUAUGGAUAUUAAGUUUAUUUUGUAACGGCCCGUUUUCAGUGAAAUCGAAACAGUGGAUUUGAGACCACAAAUAUGAAGUCAAAAAAAUUAUUUUAAUAUUAUUGUAAUAUCUACAGCAUGAUAUUAUUAUAGUAUAAAAAUUUCUUUAAGAAAUUUUACCGUUUGUAUGCUCAAUUUGUGAAAAAAGACUAAAUCGCGUAAAGUGUGAAAGUUGUGUUCUAUAAGAUAAAGGUGUUAAAUAGCUAUAGAAAUUUAAAAUAGAGGUCCUUAUAUGGUAAUUAGACCAUUAAAGGUGAGAGUGGAUGUGCAUGGCUUGGCAAUUAUGAAAAUUUUAAAGUUAGGUAAGGGCAAUUUGGUAAAAAGGCAAUUAAGGAUAAAAUAAUCAAAAAUUUAAAGCUAUCAUCUUUCAUUCUCUUCUCCAACUGAUUUUUAUAGAAAAUAAUAACCAUGGAAGCUUGAAAAUUUUUCCUAAGAAAAUCCCUUGCAUGUAAGUGAUAUCUUGUCCCGUUUUUGUUGAUUUUUAUGUUUUCAGGAUCAUUAUAGCUUAACCUAGCUAACUAGGGGACUAAUUUGCGAAACUAUUGAAUAUUUUGAGACUUUCUAUUGAUGAAUAUGUUAGGGUUUUGAAUUUUAAUGGAAGAAAAUGAAUCUUUGUUUGGAAUUAAACAACUUUUGUUAAGUGAUUUUUAAUGAAAUUGUCAAUUAGGGGUUAAAUUGAGAAAUGUGUAAAUUAUGUGUUAAAUAAGUGAAAUUGUGAAAUGUAUGGGCUUUUAUAGACUUAAAAGAUAUUUGGCUAGGCUUGGGUGUGGUGAUAUUACAUGAAUUUCAUUUUUACGAGCCUAGGGACUAAAUUGUAAAGAAGUCAAAUGUUUAAGGGAAAAAUGGUAAUUUUUCCAUAACAAGAAAUUUGGAUUGAAUUGAUUAGAAAUAUGAUUAAAUGAAUUAAAUUUGAUUAUAUAGAUCAAGAAAAGAAACAUUCGGAACUAAAUCAGGGAAAAGAUAAAGUCAUGGACUAAACGAUCGUAUUCUCCGUUUGAGUUUGAGGUAAGUUCGUGUAAAUACAUUACCCUAAUUAUAUGUUUUGAUUGAAAUAUAUACGUGUAUGAUUAGUUUAGUUAGUAUUAUGCAUAAUUAUCGAGUACAUAAUCGACGAUGUACGAAGAAUACCAAGCCCCGCUUGAACCUUAGGAAUUCGUAGGAUACAAAUGACAUGUCAUUAGGGUUACUAUUUUGGUUGAGGUCCUGCAGGUGUUGCGGACUCCCCACAGCUCGUAUGAGUUUACAGAUUUGGAGCUCGUAGGAGCUUACAGAUAUUUAGCUCAUAAAUUCUUACCGUUUAUCGCUUGUAUGAGCUUACAUGUACAAGAACUGACAUAUUACAGUUUAGUACACCUCAUGUGUACUAUCUAACGAGAUUCUAAGUGGUUCAACUGGCAUAGCAUUAUUACGAGAUUAUAUAAGUUCGAUACGAACUAGUACAGAUAUUUACAUGGAGAUAGUUUUUAUAUAUAUGAUAUACGGAUAUACGGUAGAGAUGUUACAUGUACAUAGAAUUUUAAUAAUUUUUUAAUUCAUACAUGAUUCUCGAUUUUUUAUGUGUGUACAUGGCUAACUUGAUGAAUGGUUAUGUGAUAGGCUUUGGCCAAAUUGAAUUGAGUUAUGCUUUGAGUUAUUUACCUAAAUUUGUGGUUAUACGGUAAGUUUUAUUCUAUGUUUUACGAACUUACUAAGCUCAAUUGUUUACUCCAUUUAUUUUUCCGUGUUUUAUAGUACUUCGGAAGCUCGCUCAAUUUGGAAGUCAUCGGAGAUUGCGUCACACUAUCAAGCACUCAUUUUGGUAUUUUGGACUUUAUAUAUUUUGGUUAAAUGGCAUGUAUAGGUAUUUUGGGUAACGUGGGCUAUAUGUCUUGUUGUGUUUUGGCCAUUUGAAUUGGCUUGUAAGGUGGUCAUAUAUUUUGAUAUGUAUAUAUGUAUAAAUGCCCUUAUGAUAUGUGGUGUAUAGUUGUUAUAUGAAUGCCUUAUUUGUGAAAUUGAGUGUUGGCACUAAAUGGUUGGAAUUUAGAUAUGUAGGCAUGCUAAGUUUUAGGCACAAUGAGUCAUAUAUGUAAUUGACCAUUUAGGUUGACUUUAGAAGUAUACUUGAUAUGUUUAAAAUUGGUCAAAUGAAUGUGCUCAUGGAUAUCAUGUUGUUAGUGUGGAUAUUACAUGUUAUAAACUUGAUAUUGAUUAGUUUUGAGUGUCUAUUUAUUCCAUGGUUAUGUGAAAAUUGAUGUGUAUAGGUUGGUACAAAGGUGGGUGAAGAAUAUGGCUUGGAAAAUGGUCUAUUUUUGUCCACAAGGGUAGAGACACGGGCGUGUGUCUCAGCUAUGUGUGACACAUAGCCAGGUGACACAACCGUGUGUCCCCUGAUACUUCUCAGAAAUCAAGUCAGUAGCUUCACACGGCCUAGCACACGAGCGUGUGGCUUCGCUGUGUGGCUCAAGUCAGUAUACCACUAGUUUUCACAUGGCCUAGCACACAGCCCGGCACACAGGCGUGUGAAGCCAUUUUGAAGGGUACACAACCUGGCACACGAGCGUGUGGUUGGCCGUGUGACCCACGUCAAUGAGCUACAUGGAGUCGGACACGAGUUGAGACAUAGCCGUGUGUCCCCAUUUUGAAUACCCACAUGGCCUGAGACACGGGCGUGUCUCACAUGGCCUGGCCACACAGGCGUGUGUCCUCUACACUUUGAAAAUUUUCAAUAUUUUUCUAAAAAUUUCUUAAACACUCGAUUUAGUCUCGAACUAUUUUUAGUGUCUAUUUGGGGCCUCGAGGGCUCGUAUUAGGAAUCAUAUGAUUGUCUAUGAAAUGUUUUUCAAUUGAAUGAGAAAUGUACAUGAAAUGGUUGAUUGAUUGAACUGUCAUUCCGGUAAUACUCUAUAACCCUAUUCUGGCGUCGAAUAUGGGUUAGGGUGUUACAUUUAUUGGUAUCAAAGCUACGGUUUAGUCGAUUCUAGGACUAACGUAGUGUAUGUGAGUCUAGCUAUACAUGUCAUUUUAUAACAUGUGAUAGUGUGACAUCUCUUGAUAGUUUAAAAUCAUGUUUUUCAUAUAGUACUAGAUUCCAACCAAGCAGACUCCGAUGAUCUAGAAAGUAACGCGCCAAGCUUUGUUCGCGGAGCAUUAUCGUUUGGGUCUAAACCUAUGUCAGAGGGUCGUGGAGGAGAGACUAAGGAAACCCUCUUCCAGAUGAUGAACGAAUGGUUCACUGAGUUUGUCUGAACUAAUCCGGCUGCUUAGCAACCUCCACCCUCACCUUUCCCCAACCAGUUUCAGUAGCUCCUCAAGUUUUUGAACCUGUAUGUAUGAGUAAACCGCCUGUUGAUAAAAUCUAAAAAUAUGGGGCUGAAGAGUUUAGGGCCACUGUUGAUGACGAUCCAAAGAGAGUCGAGUUUUGGCUAGAGAAUACAGUCAGAGUUAUUGAUGAACUAUCUUGUAUGCCAAUGAAAUGUGUUAAAUGUGUCAUAUCUCUUUUGAAAGAUGUUGAAUACUAGUGGUGGAGCACUUUAAUUUCUGUAGUACCGAGGGAACGGGUUACAUGGGAAUUCUUUCAGACAGAAUUACGAAUAAAGUAUAUAAAUCAACAAUUUCUUGAUAAAAAAUGUAAAGAAUUUCUAGAGCUGAAACAAGGUCGUAUGACCAUAUCUAAAUAUGAAAGAGAGUUUUUUCAGAUUAAGCAAGUAUGCCCAAGGGUGCAUUCCAACUAAGGUGGUUAUGUGUAAAAGGUUUGAAAAUGGGUGAAAUGAGGAAAUUAAGCUUUUAGUUGGAAUACUUGAAUUGAAAGAAUUUGUUGUGUUAGUCAACAGAGCACACAAAGCCGAGGAGCUUAGUAAAGAAAAGAGAAAAGUUGAAUUUGAAACUAGAGAUUCGAGAAAGAGAUUUACAGGAAAGUCUCAUUAGUCAACAUUGAAGAAAUUUAAAGAACAUCACUACCAUCCUACUGUUUCUGCGGCGUAUUCAAAUAGAGAUAGAGAUGCGAGACACUCCAGUCCAAAACCCUAGGCUACAUCUGUAGCGAGUAUGGGUAGUGUUAGAAAUGUUAGACUCGAGUGCAAACACUGCAACAGGCCACAUUAUGACGAGUAUUGAGUUAAAAGCGGAGCAUGUUUCAGGUUUGGUUCAUUCGACCACUACCUUCGAGAAUUCCCUAAAAAGUCUGAGAAAGAAAAAACUCAAACCACGAGACCGAGCAAUACAAAUGCUAGAGGGAGACCACCCUGAAACACUGGAAAUGCGAGUGGUAGUAGAGGUGCAACGAGAGAUUCAGCAGUGAGAUCCGAGGCACAGGCGCCAGCUAGAGCUUACGCUAUUCACGCUCCCGAGGAUGCAUCGACACCAGAUAUUAUCACCGGUAGUUUUCCUCUUUAUAACACUGAUGUAACUGCUUUGAUUGAUCCCGGAUGAACUCAUUCUUAUGUAUGUACAAAUUUAGUGUCUAGUAAGAGUUUACCUAUUGAAUUCACUGAAUUUGUGGUUAAGGUAUCGAACCCUUCAGGUUAGUAUGUCCUAAUUGAUAAUGUUUGCAAGAAUUAUCCUUUGAUGACUCGGGGUUAUAGGUUUUUAGCCGAUUUGGUGCUUUUACCGUUUGAUGAAUUCGAUGUGAUCUUGGGUAUAGAUUGGUAGACCCAACAUGAUGCAGUUGUAAACUGUAGAUGAAAGCUUAUUGAAUUGAAAUGUCGGAACAGUGAGACUUUUCGUCUUGAAUCUGAUGAUUCGAGUGGGUUACUUAUUGUAAUAUCGGCUAUGUUAGCACAAAAGUAUGUAAGAAAGGGUAGCGAUGCUUACCUUGCAUAUUUACUGGAUACUAAAGUGUCUGAAUCAAAGAUUGAAUCAGUUCCAGUAGUUUGUGAAUAUCCAGAUGUAUUUCUGGAAGAAUUACCCAGUUUACCACCGAUGAGAGAGGUUGAGUUUCCUAUUGAGUUAGUAUCGGGAACAUCACCGAUAUUGAUAGCUCCGUACAGAAUAGCUCCGACAGAGUUGAAAGAGUUGAAGGCUCAGUUACAAGAGUUAAGGAUAGAUGUUUUGCACAGCUGAUUUUCUCGCCCUAGGGUGCACCAGUUUUAUUCGUUAAAAAGAAAAAUGGUUCAAUGAGAUUGUGUAUUGAUUAUUGUCAGCUCAACAAAGUAACGAUCAAGAAUAAGUACCCAUUGCCGCGAAUCGAUGAUUUAUUUGAUCAGUUGAAAGGUGCAACGGUAUUCUCAAAAAUUGAUUUAUGUUCAGGUUAAUAUCAAUUGCAGGUUAAAGAUUCGGAUGUACCGAAAACUAUGUUCCGGACUAGGUACGAACACUAUGAAUUUCUUGUUAUGCCAAUUAGGUUGACUAAUGCUCUUGUAGUGUUCAUGAAUUUUAUGAAUCGAAUCUUUAAACCAUAUUUAACCAGAUUUAUUAUUGUGUUCAUUGAUGAUAUCUUGAUAUACUCCUGAGAAGAAUCUGAGCAUGCCAACCAUUUGAGAAUUGUGUUGCAAGCUUUGAGAGAUAAACAACUAAUUGCUAAAUUCAGCAAAUGUGAGUUUUGGCUUCGAGAAGUUGGAUUCUUGGGACACAUUAUUUCGGCGAAAGGCAUCAAAGUUGAUCCGAGCAAGAUUUUAGUAGUUAUUGAUUGGAAACCACCCAGAAAAAUAUCCGAAGUCAGAAUUUUUCUAGGAUUAGCUGGCUAUUAUCGGUGAUUUGUAAAAGGGCUCUCGAUGAUAGCUACACCAUGACUUGGUUAUUAUAGAAAGAUGUAAAGUUUGAGUGGUCUGAGAAAUGCCAAUAGAGUUUUAAUCAGUUGAAAGUAAUGUUAAUCGAAGCGCCCGUUUUAGUUCUGCUUGAGUAGGGUAAAAAAUUUGUGAUUUUUAGUGAUGCGUCAUUAAACAGUUUGGGUUGUGCUUUAAUGCAAGAAGGCAAAGUGAUAGCUUAUGCUUCCACACAGUUAAAGUCGCAUGAAAAUAAUUAUCCGACACACGACUUGGAGUUGGCCGCAAUUGUGUUUGCAUUAAAGAUUUGGUGACACCAUUUGUUCGGUGAGAAAUGCCACAUAUUUACUGAUCACAAGAGUUUGAAGUAUCUGAUAUCACAAAAAGAUCUAAAUUUGAGACAGCGAAGGUGGCUCGAACUGUUGAAAGAUUAUGAACUAAUUAUUAAUUAUCAUCCGGGUAAAGCAAAUAUAGUUGCAGAUGCUUUCAGUAGAAAAUCCUUGUUUGCCUUAUAGGCGAUGAAUACGCGAUUGACUUUGUUUGAUGAUGGUUCGAUAUUAGCUGAAUUAAAAGCUAAACCAAUAUUUCUUCAGCAAAUCUGCGAAGCUCAGAACUGUGAUAAUGAAUUGCAAGCUAAAAGAGUACAGUGUGAGUUGGCUACUAAUUUAGAGUAUCAGAUAGGAUUUGAUGAUUUUUUGUUGUUUCGAGUAGAGUUUGUGUACCAAAAAAUACAUAACUUAUAUAGAAAAUUUUACAUGAAGCUCUACUGGGAGCUUGUCUGUUCAUCUAGGAGUACUAAGAUGUACGGUGAUUUGAGACAAAUUUACUGGUGGUCAGGUAUGAAACGUGACAUUUCAAAUUUUGUGUCGAGAUGCUUGAUUUGUCAGCAAGUUAAAGCCGAACAUCAAGUGCCUUCAAGACUAUUGUAGCCAGUGAUGAUACCAGAGUGGAAGUGGGAUAGAGUUACGAUAGAUUUCGUAUCGGGAUUACCCCUAUCUCCGAAAAAGAAAGAUGCUAUAUAGGUCAUUGUUGAUCGUUUGACGAAGUCUACACAUUUCAUUCUGGUACAUAUAGACUUCUCACUUGACAGAUUAGUCAAAUUGUAUAUUUUCGAGAUUGUGAGAUUGCACGGAGUACCAGUCUCCAUCAUCUCAGAUAGAGAUCCGUUAUUUACAUCACGAUUUUGGAAGAAGAUGUAAAAAGCUUUGGGUACACGGUUGCAUUUUAGCACUGCAUUUCAUCCUCAAACCGAUGGCAUUUUGGCUAAUGUGGCCUAUAUGUUUUGUUGUGUUUUGGCUAUUUGAAUUAGCUGGUAAUGUGGUCAUAUAUUUUGAUAGGUAUAUAUGUAUAAAUGGCCUUAUGAUAUGUGGUGUAUAGUUGCUAUAUGAAUGCCUUGCUUGUGAAAUUGAGUGUUGGCACUAACUGUGUAGGCAUGCUAAGUUUUAGGCACAACGUCUCACAUAUGUAAUUGACCAUUUAAGUAGACUUUAGAAGUAUAUUUGGUAUGUUUAAAAGUGUUCAAAUGAAUGUGCUCAUGGAUAUCAUGUUAUGUGUGCGGAUAGUAAAUGUUAUAAACUUGAUAUUUGUUAGUUUUAAGUGUCUAUUUAUGUCAUGGUUAUGUGCAAAUUGAUGUGUAUAGGUUGGUACCAAGGUGGGUGAGGAAUAUAUCUUGCAAAAUGGUCAAUUUUUGUCCACACGGGCAGAGACACAGGCAUGUGUCUCAGCCAUGUGUGAUACACGGCCAGGUGACACGGUCGUGUGUCCCCUGAUACUUUUUAGAAAUCAAGUCAGUAGCGUCACACGGCCUAGCUCACAAGCGUGUGGCUUCAUUGUGUGGCUCAAGUCAGUAUACCUCCAGUUUUCACACGGCCUAACACACGGCCCAGCACACGGGCGUGUGAGGCCAUUUUAAAGGGUACACGGCCUGGCACAUGGGCGUGUGGUUGGCCGUCUGACCCAAGUCAGUGAGUUACACGGGGUCCGACAUUGGCUGGGAUACAGCUGUGUGUACCCAUUUCGAAUGCCCACAUGGCCUGAGACACGGGCGUGUCUUUUGGCCGUGUGUCUGGCCACACGGGCAUGUGUCCCUUACACUUUGAAAAAUUUCAAUGUUUUUCUAAAAAUUUCUUGAGCACUAAGUUUAGUCCUGAACCACUUUUAAUGUCUAUUUAGGGCCUUGGGGGCUCGUGUUAGAGACCAUAUGAUUGUCUAUGAAUGGUUUUUGAAUUGAAUGAGAAAUGUACGUGAAAUGGUUGAUUGAUUGAACUGUAAGUCCGAUAAUACUCCAUAACCCUGUUUCGGUGUUGCAUACGGGUUAGGAGUGUUACAUAUUUUCUGCAGAAAUAAAGUUUAUUUGGUUUAUUCAUAUUUUGAUUUUGAUAAGGUUUGAUCUCACUAAGGUUUAAGGAGGACCAAUUGCAUGUGAAAGAUGGAAUUUCAAUCAAGGUACCCAAUAUGAUCGACUUGCCGUUUUUAUUUUAGUAUUAGUAUAUAUUUAUAGUUUAAGUUUUAAUUUUUAAGAAAUUAUAUAUUUUUUGUAUACUUAUAAAUAUACCUUAAUUAAAUAACUAUAAAUAUAUUUAUAUAUAAAUAUAAAUUUUAAAAUCUUUCAUCAAUUUCAAUAAUUAUUAAAUUUAAAUGUAAUUAUAAAAAAUUUAAAUACAUUAAAAGUUAAAUAAAAAUUUAAUUUAAAAUUUAAUUUAAAAUAUAAAAAUUUUGUAAGGCUCAGUAUGAACAAAUAUAAGUUGUUAUUAACUAAAACAAUUCAAAUACAUCGAAAUAGUUGAAACAUGUCAAAAUUUUAAUCAAAUUAAAACAUAUACUACUUUAAAAUCAUUUAAGAUUGAAAUGAUAUAUAUUAACCGAUACAACCCAUACCUAAGUACCACAAUUCCAACCUCCACUCCAACCCAUGUUUAUUUUAAUCUAAUAUUAAACAAUAAUCUCAAUUGUUCCAAAUGAUAUGGGAUCAAAACUUUCAUUCUCCUUCCUGGUAAGAAAAUUGCAUUAAAAAAGAAAAAGUAGAGCAAUAAGUUCCAGAUAAGUUAAUGAUGGGAUGAAUAGUAUCUCGUUGUCGGCAGAUUGCUAUUUCACUACUCUAUUGGUACAACGAUGCACUUAAUUUUUUUAGUUUACUCUCAUUAAUUGAGUAAUGAAGAGACUUGUUUAUACUUUUUUGCUAAUUUAGCGUUGAUUUUUUUUAAAUAUAUAAAAUUAAAAGAUAAAAAAGACUUAAAAAUUAUAAAAUUAAAAAAAUAAUAUGAGCGUAAAAAAUAUAUGAAAUCAUAUAAAUAAGUAAAAAAACACUUAAAUCAAGGAUAAAUCCAAAAUUAAACCUAACAAAAACGAAUCUAGAGACUAGAUUGAACAUAUUAAUAUAUCACAUUAGGAUUGAAUCAUGAACAUACUAAAUAUGUAAAUAAGGACUAAAAUGAAUCAAAUUGAAAAUCACAUGCAAAGAAACAAAAAUUUCAAAGGAAUUAAGUUCACAAUGACCCCUAAAACCAUUAAUGCACACUUAAAACUCGAAAGCUGGGUUUUUCUUGCUUUUUUUUUCUCUCUCCUUUUUCAUACGCCAUUCAGCCUCAUUUUUUUCACCUCUUCUAUCACCAUGAUUUAAAAUCCCUCAUAACCGGCUUUAUUAAAUAAAAAAAUAUAAUAGAUUAUAUUAAAAAUAUUUUAUAUUAUAUGAUAUUUGAAAUGUAAAAGAAUAAAUAUAUUAUAUAUUUUAUGUAUCCUGAAUUGAAAUAUUUAUAUACCUUAUACAGGAUAAAUUAAUAUAUAUUAGUUGCUAAUAUCUAAGAUAUUAAUAUUUUAAAUCAAGGAAAUCUAAUGUCAUGUCAUUUAAAUAGUUUGCCCACUUGUUAUUUGUUAUAAUAGAUUCACCAAGUGCUCUCUUUAUCAUCAACUUUUUAAACGUGAUUUAAUUUAGCUACAUAAUUACACUUCUUUUUAUUUUAAAUAUUAUAUAUCUUUAAUAAAAUAUAGAUAAAUCAAUCACAAUAUGUUUUGAUUUAAUAUACAUUUAAUCUUAAAAAAAUAAUAAAUUCCAAAUCAAGUUCAAAUAAUUGAUGUGUGAAAUGAAAAAGAAAUCAAUUUAAAAUGCUCAUAUCUAAAGCAAUAUCUAUAUGAUCCACCUAAUAAGUAAAAUUGUAGAUAUCACACCAAAAACGUGUUUUAAAUUGUAAGAAGUAAUGAGUUUCGUGUGAUGAUCUGAUAGUUAAGAGUGUUCAUUGUUUCAGGUGUGGUCUAAGCUCGAAUAAUGUUUAUAUUUAAACUUUGUCAUGUUAUUGCAAUUCAAAAAAAAAAUUGUAAGGAGUAAUUCUCUUUUAGUCCAUAACUUUUUGUUUUUUCUUGGAAGAAAUUCUUAUAAUAUAAAUAAUAAUGAAUCGUUUCAUUAUGAUUAAUUUAAAAAUUACUCCCUAUUUUUAUUAUUUCUUUGAAUUUUGAAGCAAGCUGCCCGGAGCUUUUGAAGUUGCAUCUUUGGACUUAAUCCAUUGUUGGUCCCUGUACUAUAAGUAAAUUAUCACUUUGAUCUUUUUAUUUUUUUUUUGGUCACUUUUUAUUCCAUCUAUUUUAUUCCGUCAUUUAAUUUAGCUCUUUGUUGAGAAGAUUUAAUAAUCUCAACACUUGCAAUUGCAGGUAGGACCUACAGUUCAAAUGCAUCUUGGGCAAUCCUUGGGCACUCGUUCCGUCAAAUAUUAUUUAUAUUUUGGUGAUUUUAAAACUUAAGGUUGUUAAAGGUUGCACUUAUAGUUAAUCAAUCAUCAAAUAUUAUUUAUAUUUUGGUCACAUGAGAAAUAUAUUUAUACUUUGAAAUAGUGAAUAUUGUCUCGGAUUGAAUCAGUUAUAGUUGGCAUGUCAUAUGAUUAGUGUACGAGAUUUUUCUUCGAUUUAUACUAAUGAGGUGUGAAGCGCAAUAUUUUUGAACGUAUCAAUGAUACACUUGGUGCUAGUUAUAUUGGUGUGAUGGUUGGAUGAUCUAUGUUUGUUUAUAUAAGUCUGAAUAUGCUAGUUAGUAGAUCAAACCUUAAUCCUUUUGAUACUAUAGUUUAAUGACAUUUGAUAGUGUUUACAUGUGUUAAAUUGGUGAUUUUGCAUUGGUGUAAUAUUUGGGUAUGUUUUAUGUACAAUUAGCUGAAGUUUGAAUGUUUGAAAAUGUGCAUUUUAAACCAUUUACCAUUAAGUCUCGAAAGAACGAGAGAAUGUCUUGAGACUGUUAGAAUAAAAAUUUACUAUAUUAUGUGUCGAAACCACUUUUUUUUUGAAAAUCGGGGAUUGAUUUUGAAAAUAAAAUGGGAGUCGCCACCGAUCUUUUGUUGAGGUGUGAUCGGAUCACUUUGAAAAUAAUUUUAGGUCUGCGAAGUUUGAGAAAACAAGUUCGGGAGCCGGUUACGCACGAGGAAGGGUUAGCACCCUCGUAACGCCCAAAAUUGGUACCAAAUUGGUUGUAUGUCUUAGGGUGGAAGUUUUUGAAAAGAUUUAAAAAAAAUACGAUCCUUUUAAAUUUUAAAUUUGGAUAAACCAAAUUGAAUAACAAGACGUACUUAUUUUGAAUAAACAAAUUGCUACACUCAGUAAGUUAGAGUGCAACAAUUCAAUCAUCAAAAUUAAGUACGUUUCCUUUUUUUUUUAAAGAAGGUUAUUUGAUUAUUUAAGUCAAUCGAGAAAUCAGAAUCCAGUGAGUUAGGGUUCAAUUUCUCGAAAUUCUUAAACCUCAAAUAUUGCCUUUUAUUUUUUAAAAUCGAGAUAACAAAAUGCCACAUCCAGUAAGUUAGGAUCCAACAUUUUGUAAUCUUAAGAGCUUUAUUUUAAUAAUGGUAUGGUUUUAAUAAAAUGGAAACUUGAUAAUAUAAAUCCAUUGAAGAGAAUUGAAGCCCAGUAAGUUAGGGCACAAUUUUCUCGAGAAUUAUUAAACACUAAGUCCUUUUUUGGAGUUUUGAAAUAGAACGAUUAUAAUGUUUUAAUGGAAUGCAAUUCUUACAAACAAUAUAAUUGAAUAACAAUAUACGAAGCGAAUGAUGAAUAGCAAGUUAAUUCUACAAUUUGGAGCAACCACAUAUAUAAUACAUCGACGUUAAUAAUUAAAUAAACUAGUAAACAAUCUUACAAAUAACAAAUGAGAAUAAUUAAUACAAAAAUAAUUUAAUCACAAGUAAACCAAUCAACAUAAUCGAAAUGAAUAACAAAUUUAAAGCGUAGAAUAAAAUUUUAGAAAUUACAAGUUACAAUUCAUUUUAUACACAUAUAUAUUAAAAUAAUUCCAUAUCAUGAAAAUCUAAAAAUGAUGCCAAUGAAUUUAGAACAUAUUAAUAAUAAUUUAAGAGGGUAAAGUAUUAUAUUUUAGAAAUCAUAUCAAUAAUAAUUUUGAAAAAUAUUAAGCCAAUAUUACAAUACUUUUAAAAACAAUGAAUUGGUAUAAAACUUGAUUUUUUUUAAACUUUUGAAAUCAAAAUUAAAUAUGCAAAACAUUUUUUUUUUUGAAAUUGAGAACAAUAAUCAACAAAUUUCAAAUCAAGACUUAAAUAAAAUUUGAAUGAUGAUAAAUUAGAACAAAAUUAAAAUGCAAUUGACUCAAAAUAUUGGUGUAUAAUGAAUAAAAAAUAAACAAAAAAGUAAUAAUUUAUUACAUUUUGAACUAUUAUAAUAAAUUUAAACACUAUUAAAAAUAAAUAUCACAAAUAAUAUUAAAUAUUACAAUAUACGAAAGUAGGAUUUAAUUAAUUAAAAAUAUUUUGGAAUUUAAAAAAAGAAAACUGAAUUUGUAUUAAAUCGAAAUCAGUUUCAACAUUGACGAACUAAACUAGCAAUUAAACGCAAGCAUUAAAAUAAUUACAAUCAACCACAUAAAACGAUACCGUUUCAAGUUGGACCUCAAUGAAAACAAGUUACAUGCACCAUACAAAUUACAAAAAAUUAAAGAAAUCAAAUCGUAAUCAUAGUAAACACACAGGGACCUAUUUAGCAAAUAGGCCAAUUAGUCCAGCAUGCGCGGAUCCUACCUCGGGUCGGGUCACCGCCUGGAUCUGGUCGUCAAACGACGCUGUUUUGAAGCUAUUAUGUUAGCAGCAAGCGGUGACGUUUUAGUCUCGUGUUUAAAAAACUGAAAAACCUAAACGUUUUCAUUUCAGAGAACCGAAAGAGAACUAAUGUUCUCUGCGCCGUUCUAAGCACUGAGGGGGCUCAAGUGAUCUCCGAUCCAGACCUGUUCCCCGAUGGCAACGGAGGAGGCCCGAAUCUCCUCACAAGGUACCUUUCUCCCUUUCUUACUGCUAUUUCUAUCUUUAAUGAAAAUUAGUAGAUGCCUAAACGAAAAAAGAAACGAAAUACAAAUGGAAAGAAGAAAAGAAAAUCGGAAAUCACCUUUUUCAUAUCUUUUGUAUUUUUUUGAAUGCGUAAUCUGUUUACUGUGUUUGAAUGGCUUUCUUAUAGCCCGAUUUUAUAGAAAAUAAAAUAAAAAAUAAAUACAAGGUUCCCCUAUUCUAUUGUUUUUCUAUUGGUUGCUGCCUCCAUGUGUUUUUGCAGGUAUUCAGCCAGCCUGGUGGUACGGAGGUGGCCGUACGGAUGCGUGCGUGGCUGGGAGGCAUGGUGGUGCACGCGUAAGAGGAGCCUGACCUGCCUGCGGCACAAAAUGUUCCAGAAACCCUAGGGUUUCUGGAUGUUUCAAGCAAAUGGGCUAGUUCGAGUUGGGCUAGGGUUUGGGUCUGGUGUUGGGUUACUCAGGUUUGGGUAUUAGGCCUGCUAUCGGGUUUGGAAAAUGUAUUUUGGGUUUGGAUAAUGGGUUAAUUAUUGUAACUGGACUGAUAUUAUUGGACUUUUAAUUUUUAUUUGGCUUUAUAUAUUUUUAAAUGUUUGUGGGCCGGGCAAAUUUGGGUUAUUACAGUUGCCCCUCUUUGCUCAUUGUCGUGUAACGGGAAUGAAGCAAAGACUUUGAUAAAGGCAAAUUUUCCUGGUCAUGCGGGAUUUGGUGUUCUUCUUCAAGUAGCCUCAUUCCAUCCUACUGCAUCUUCAGAGGUAUAGGAAUUGUUUCGAUCCACUCCGCCAAAACAUCGGGGAGAUAGGAUUCGCUGUCUUUGAGCUGCUCCACUACUGCUUAGGGAGAUAAGAUCUGAAAUUUUCAACCUACUCCACUACUGCUUAGGGAGAUAAGGCUGGUGACUUAAAUCUACUUAACUACAAUGUCAGAGAAGUAGGAUUCGCUGUUGUAGCUUCAAUUUAUUCCACUGCACCGCCUAGGAAGUAAGAUUUGAAAAUUCUUCGGUCUAUUCCCCUGUAAUCUCAGGGAGAUAAGACCUGAUGCGAUCUACUCUACUGUAAUUUUAGAGGGAUAAGAUUCUUUAUUUUAAUUCGCUCCACUGUAAUCUCAAGGAAAUAGGAUUACUGGCUUCAAUCUAGUCCGCUGUAAUCUCAGGGAGAUAAGAUUUCUGGCUUCAAUCUGCUCUACUGUAACCUCAGGAGAUAAGAUUUUUCGGUCUAUUCCACUGUAAUCUCAGGGAGAUAAGAUUCUUCAGUCUAUUCCAUUGUAAUCUCAGGGAGAUAAGACUUGAUGCGAUCUACUCUACUGUAAUUCUAGAGAGAUAAGAUCCUUUAUUUUAAUCCGCUCCACUGUAAUCUCAGGGAAAUAGGAUUACUGGCUUCAAUCUGCUCCACUGUAACCUCAGGGAGAUAAGAUUUGAAAUUCUUCGGUCUAUUCCACUGUAAUAUCAGGGAGAUAAGACCUAAUGCGAUCUACUCUACUGUGAUUUCAGAGAGAUAAGAUCCUUUAUUUUAAUCUGCUCCACUGUAAUCUCAGGGAAAUAGGAUUACUGGCUUCAAUCUGCUCCGCUGUAAUCUCAGGGAGGUAAAAUCCGCCAUCUUUGAUCUGCUCCACCGUCGAUGCAGGAAGGCAAGAUAUGCUAUAUUCAUUGAUCUAUUCUCUGGGGAACAUGCCUUGUAUAAUGAACCUAAAUAUGUCUAAUGAUUAGGAUGGCAUGAUCAAAAUGAAUCAAAUGCUCCUACCUAGACAUGUGUGAAUGGUGUUUGCAUAAAUGUAGAAUUUUAUUUUUCGAGAAUGAUCCCGCUUAGGUUGUCAUUACUUGAAAUUUAUUAAGGCUUUAACACCGACGUGCUCCAACGCCUUCUUGCUUGACCGGAUUUUCUAAAGAAACACUUAGUCAGAUUGCCCCCACUGUAAACCUCAAAGUUCUAUCCAUUAGGGCGCAAAAUUUUUACCAUCAUUCUCCCCUGUAAUCCAAGGGUAGAAAUAUGUGGCUUUUCCUCAAUCCUCUCCUAUCAUGAUUCAAGGAUCCCGGAUUUAAAUCUUCCUGGUCCCUUACAUCAUUCCCAGGGUGUCGUACCAAAAUCUUAUACUCAAAUGAAGGCUUUCUUCUUCGAGGAAACCUCUUCCUAUUGCCUAAUGAUCAUUGCUUGCUUGUUUAUUUAAGCUUUAUCAUCAACAUGAUCUUCUUGUCAUUUUGUUCAAUCACUGUUCUAUCAACAAAAUCUAAAAGGAUUGUCUUGAUUCGGACUUUUCCCUAUUAGAUUUCUGACCUUUAAACUUGGUUCGUUCUAAACAAAAGUCUUGUUUCAUGGUUACUGUAUUAUUUAGAAACUUUUUCUGAAUAAUAUGCAGAACUUCCACUGUGAAAGUUUUAUUAGUCCAUUAAUAUUUAUUCUAAUGCAACAUGCUUGCACAAAGAACAAAACAAUGGAUAGAAUAGACUUGAUUUGAGAGCAUAACUUGCAAUGAAUAAAUUAUCAAGAAUAUUGAGAAUAAAAGAGGAACUGACUUGUGUCUUGAAAAAGAAUGAAGUAUUCCAAGAAAGAAAAUAUGACUAGUAUAAAAAACUAGAUGCCCCAGAUAUCACAGCUUGAAUUUCUCUGUACAAACUUUCUGAAAACCUUUCUGAGUUUGACAUGUGUUUAUGGGAUCUACAGUACUCUGCAAAUGCUCCAAGAUGUCGCAUACCCUUUCCCAUUAAUUCAGGUAUAACAAGAUCGUUACAUGCCCCAAACUGAUCAAAAAAUGAACUGCUCUGAUCACCUCAUGCCCCAUUCUGAUCAAUAUUUGAGCCACCCCCUUGGGUUUUCAACUCAAAUCCCCUUUGGUCUCAAGGUGCCCUUUGCGGGUUUUCACCUUGGCCUCUCCAUUUUUUUUUUUAGGAAUCAAAGCGCCCUUUGUGGGUUUUCACUUUGGUCCCUUUCCUUCAAGUGAAGUAUUUCUUGACUGAGUCUGAGUUUACAGGAUUUGGCAAAUUUUUACCAUCUAUCUCAGUUAGAAUCAAAGCUCCACCAGAAAAGGCCUUCUUUACGACAUAAGGACCCUCCUAAUUUUGCAUCCAUUUUCCUCUAAAGUCUUUCUGUAUAGGAAGAAUUUUCUUCAACACUAGAUCUCCUUCGUGGAAUUCUCUGGGAUGAACCUUUUUGUUAUAGGCUCACAUCAUCCGUUUUUGGUACAUAUGACCAUACUGGAUGGCUUUUAACCUUUUCCCUUCUAUUAAGUUCAACUGGUCGUAUCGAGACUAAACCCAUUCUGCUUCAUCCAAUUUUAGUUCAGCUAAUACCCAAAGAGAAGGAAUCUCCACCUCAAUGGGUAAUACGACUUCCAUCCCAUAAACGAGAGCAAAGGGUGUUGCCCCAGUAGAGGUCCUAACAGAUGUUUGGUAAGCUAAGAGAGCAAAUGAUAGCUUCUCAUGCCAAUCCUUGUAGGUUUCAGUCAUUUUCCCUACAAUUCUCUUAAUAUUUUUAUUGGCCGCCUCCACUGCACCAUUCAUUUUUGGGCGAUAUGGCGACGAGUUAUGGUGAUUGAUCUUGAACUGACUGCAAACCUCCGCUAUUGUGCUAUUAUUCAAAUUCAACGCAUUGUCAGAUAUGAUUCUUUCAGGCAUUCCAUAUCGACAAAUGAUCUCCUUUUUUAAGAAUUUACUAACCGCUGAUUUCGUGACAUUUGCAUAUGAAGCAGCUUCCACCCAUUUGGUAAAGUAAUCAAUGACCACAAAGACGAAACGAUGCCCAUUUGAAGCCUUCGGCGAUAUUGGCCCAAUAACAUCCAUGCCCCACAUGGAGAAUGGCCACGGAGCAGUCAUGACGUGCAGAGAUGAGGGAGGUACACGUAUCUUAUCUCCAUAAAUUUGACAUUUAUGACUUUUCUUGGCAUAACUAAUGCAAUCCCCUUCCAUAGUAGACCAAUAGUAUCCAAAUCUCAUGAUCUGUCUGGCCAUUGUGAAACCAUUUGCACGAGUUUCGUAAAUGCCCUCAUGGACUUCUUCCAGGAUCUUUCUAGCCUUCACGGUAUCUAUACAUCUUAACAGCACUUGAUCUUUCCCUCUCUUGUACAACACUUCCCCAUCUAAGACAUAUUCAAUGGCUAUUCUUCUCAAUGUUCUCUUGUCGUUCUCUGUCGCUUGAUCAGGGUAUUUUCGAUUCUUCACAUAUUGUAGUAUGCUCUGAUGCCAAGGAUGAUCAUCUUUUCCCUCCUCUUCAAUAUUGUAGCAAUGAGCCGAAACCUCAUAUAUGCUCAUCUGAAUAGGCUUCAUGAUUUCCAACUUGUUCACCCUAAUCAUCGAGGCUAAAGUAGCCAAUGCGUCAACCAUCUGGUUUUCAUAUCGUGGGAGGUAACAGAAGGUGAUGUCAUCAAACUCAUCAAUCAAUUCAAGAACCAGAUCUUUAUAAUUGAUCAACUUAGGGUCCCUAGUUUCCCAUUCUCCAUUGAGUUGGUAUAUCACCAAUGCAGAAUCUCCAUACACUUUUAGCACUUUAAUUUUUCGUUCAAUGGUUGCACGAAUACCCAUAAUACAUGCUUCAUAUUCUGCCAUAUUAUUUGUGCAAUCGAAGUCCAACUUGCUAGUGACAGGGUAAUGAUCUCCACUUGGGGAUACCAAGAUUGCCCCGACUCCAUUACCUAUAGCAUUUGAAGCUCGAUCGAAAUUUAACUUCCAUAUGUGGUCUAUUUAAGGGUUUUCUUCAGUAUUUGCCACAUACAUUAAAUCCUCAUUUGGAAAAUCGAAGUUCAAAGACUCAUAGUCUUCCAAGGCUCUGCUAGCUAGAAAAUCAGCUAUUGCACUUCCUUUUAUAGCCUUCUGACUUAAAUAUACUAUGUUAAAUUCAGAGAGCAGGAUUUGCCAUCUAGCCAUUCUCCCAAUUAAAGCAGUUGAUUCCAUCAUGUACUUUAACGGAUCCAACUUUGAAAUUAGCCAAGUCGUAUGAUACAACAUGUAUUGCCUUAGUCUUUGAGUUGUCUAAAUUAAAGCACAACACAGUCUUUCAAUGAACGAGUACCUCAUUUCAGAAUCAGUGAAUUUCUUGCUAAGAAAGUAUAUUGCCCUUUCUUUCUUUCCCGUCUCGUCAUGUUGGCCCAAGACGCAUCCCAUGGAAUUGUCAAACACCGUUAGAUACAGUAUCAAUGACCUAUCUGGACUAGGCGGUGAUAGUACUGGAGCAUUGGCCAAGUAUUGCUUUAUCUUGUCGAAAGCUUUUUGACAUUACUCAUCCCAUUUUCUCGGAUUAUGUUUCUUCAGAAGACGAAAUACUGGAUCACAUUUCUCAGUCAAUUGUGAAAUGAACCGAGCAAUGUAGUUCAACCUUCCUAGGAAUCCUCGAACCUCUUUCUGAGUGCUUGGAGGAGGCAGAUCUCGUAUUGCUUUAACUUUAUCCGGGUCAAUCUCAAUCCCCUUCUUACUGACUAUGAAGCCCAACAACUUUAUUCGGGUUGAGCUUGAGCUGAAAUUUUCUCAAUCUUAAAAAUAAUUUCCUCAAGGCUCGAAGAUGUUCUUCUUCAGUUCUAGAUUUUGCAAUCAUAUCAUCAACAUAAAUCUCAAUUUCUUUAUGCAUCAUGUCAUGAAACAAUGUGAGCAUUGCCCUUUGAUACAUUGCUCCCGCAUUCUUCAAUCCAAAGGGCUUUACUUUGUAACAAAAUGUUCCCAAUAAUGUAAUGAAUGUGGUUUUCUCCAUAUCUUCAGGAUGCAUCUUUAUUUGAUUGUAUCCAGAAAAGCCAUCCAUGAAAGAAAAUAAUCAGUAGCCACAUGUGUUAUCUACUAAAGUAUCAAUGUGAGGCAACGAAAAAUUGUCUUUUGGACUAGCCUUGUUCAAGUCCCUAUAAUCCACGCACAUUCGUACGUUUCCAUCCUUUUUGGGAACAGGGACGAUGUUUGCUACCCAUUCUGAAUACUUGACCUCUUGUAAGAAACCAGCGUCGAGCUGCCUUUUGACUUCUUCUUUUAUUUUCAGCACAAUAUCGGGUCUCAUUUUUCUGAGCUUCUGCUGAACUAGUUUACAAUCUUCUUUUAUAGGUAAACGAUGUACCACAAUGCUAGGGUUUAGCCCUGGAAUAUCCUGGUAUGACCAUACGAAAACAUCUUUGAACUCUCGGAGUAACUCAACGAGGUCAUGUUUUGUCUUUGCGGUGAUAUCAGUUCCAAUUUUCACAUUUUUUCCUUCCUCUAGGCUCACAAUUUCUAAUGAUUCCUUAUGAGGUAGGAUUUGCUUAUCCUUUUGUUCCACCAUUCUCAACAAGUCCGGAGAUACACCACAGUCUUCGUCAUUUUCAAAGUCCUGAGAUCCCUCCAAACACAUGUCUUGCUCAAAAAGAGACUCCGCGUUUGAAACAACAUCACUCAUGUCAUUGAUAUCUGAGGACCUAUGGGGAUACAUCAAAGAAUAUACAAAAUAUAUAAAUUUAUGAAUAAUUAUUUGUACAAUAAGGUUAUAAAUAUAAUGAAAGAAUCAUUUAGAAGAAAUUCAAUCAAAUGGAAAAAUAUUUACUUGCCUAGAAAGAAUAAAAGAAUAAUUGCUCGAAAUGAAUACAAAGAUGUAUUUUAUUAGAAUAAUGAUAUUCAGACUUAAGCCUAUUUCACAAAUGAUUUCCUAUCAUUCUUAGGCUAGAAACAACAAGAAUGUUUUGAACAUUACUCUGAAUAACCUCUAAAGACUACAGGUAUUUCUUCCGUAGUCCAAUUGUUUAGCUCACUCCCCGGUUCGUAAGGGCAAACCUCUAACAAGGUCCUUCUUUCAAUUGUCUCUAUAGCAUUGAUGUGAACAUUUUCCAACAUUUCUUCAAUGCUUUCCUUUCUGGACACCCCUUGCUUAGGGUAAAUAAACCCACCCGACACAAAGGAUUUAGAUACGUGGGGGAAGGUCAAAGGCUCCCACUUGACUUCCUCUCCGCUCAAACAUGCCCUUCUUCUCUCUUGUCUUUUCUCCGCUUCUUUCUUCUUCUGCUUCAUGUCUAGCUUGUAUUCUAAGCCAAAACUAUCAAACUUUUCCUUCAGCAUCGGUGCUUCAAUCUUUCCUUGAAGAUAUUUUCCCAAUCCUUUCGCGGGUGAAGCUCCUCUUCCAAUCAUCAAUCGUAACCCCAUCUCUGUGGUCCUGGAUAUUUUCGGUACUGGAAUUCUACUUCCUCCAGUAAUAAACAUCGUGUUCACAAAUUCUAAUGACCGAAAAGAACAUUCCUAUGCCUCAUCAUUAAUUUCCAUAUAAGGUGCAUUACCAGUUACUGUUGCAAUGAUAUCUUCCUCCACAUUUAUUGUUAUCAACCGUCCCUCUGAUACUAACUUCACCUUCUGAUGUAGCGAUGAAGGUACUACCCCAGCUAAAUGUAUCCAUGGUCUCCCCAAUAAAUAGUUGUAGGAAGGCUUAAUAUCCAUUAUCAGGAAGUCCACCUCAUAAGUGGUUAGGCCAAUCAUUAACGGUACUUCAAUUCUCCCGAUAACCCUCAUUUCUAUUCCAUCAAAUGCCCUGACUAUGCUCUGGCAUGCUUUCAUGUGUGAACUGUCCACUGGUAACUGAUUGAGAGUAGAUAAAGGUAAUACGUUUAGUGCAGAUCCAUUAUCGACCAAGACCCCUGACAGUGUGUACCCCUUGCAUCGGGUAGUACUGUGCAAAGCCUUAGUAGAACCUCUACCGCCAGACGGUAUUUCGUCAUCAUUGAAGAAGAUAAAAUUGUCAGCACUUAUUGUUGACCAACCGAUCUAGCUUUCUUAUUGAGAUAUCAUCAGUCACAUAUGUUUCAUUUAGAACUUUCAUCAGUGCACUUCGAUGUACUUCUAAACUUAGGAGCAAAGCUAAUAUCGAAAUGUGGCCGGCUAUUUGUGCAAUUGCUCCACAACACUGUAUUUGCUGUGUUUCAAAAACUUCAAAAACUCCUUUACCUCCUCUUCUUUUAUUGGUUAAUUAACCAAUGACUCAAUUUCCACUACCUUCCAUUUCCUCUGUUCUUUCCUCCAAUUCUCUUCUUUUGCCGAUUCUGCUUGAGCGUCAUAUCGCUUCCCAUUGCGCGUAUAAUAACCCCUUUCCUGAUAUUCUUUUACCAUAUUGCCCUCAACUUCUUUUCCUGGGAUUGUCACAUUGUAUCCGUAAUUCCAGGGAACCAUUUUAUCAUCCUUAUAUGUGAAACUUUACGGUUUCAUGAUUACAAUUUUUGGUGUUACCUGAACCCUGGCCUCAUUACUCUUAGGGCGUGAGAUAAUGACCACAGGAUGAUUUAUUUUCAGAGUCCCUGUUCCUGACUCCGCCGCGCAUAUGCUCCUCCUUUCUUUCACAUCUUCAUAGAACCUCAUCUCUUUGUUAUCCAUCAUGCUUUGAACCAAAGCCCUGAAUCCUUCACAUUAUUGGAUUUCGUGCCCUGUUUUAUGGUGGAAUUCACAAUAAUUUCUCAUCUUAUACCCUUCCUCAAAAUCUAAAAUAACUAACCCUCUUUUUGCCAUCUCUUUCCAGACCCAUUUCAAUGGAGUUUUUACUUCAGCAAUGUCAGUCUUAACUCUUUCCCCCGUAGAACAUACUCACUCCCUUAUCAUCAUGAUUGGGCAACGGACUUUCUGUGCUGGGUGAAUCAUCAAAUUUGACAACACCCAAUUUGAUAAGUCUUUCUACUACCUUCUUGAAAGCGGUACAAUUUUCUAUUGAGUGCCCUGAAAUUCCCGUAUGAUAGUCACAUUGGGCGUUCGUGUCAUACCAUUUUGGAUACGGGGGUUGUAGAGGAUUCAAGUAACGAGGACCAACAACAUGUGCAUUAAAUAAAUUUUGAUACAGCUCUUUAUAUGUCAUUGGAAUGGGCGUGAACUGGGGCUUCUCAGUAUUUUGCCUCAUUCCUGAUUCUUGUUUCGAUGAGCCUUGUUGAUUAGCAACCAUCUUCCUUGGUUGAUUCACUGUAAUUGAUUUACUGUAUGCGUUCACAUUGUUUACUUUAGUUUCUCUUUUAUUUGGAGCUAACCUUCGAUUAUUCUCUCCACCGUCUAUUUUUUCGUUUUUAAUAGCAUGUUCAAUCAUUUCGCCAUUCAUGAUUAUAUCCGAGAAACUCUUUGAGGCAAUUCCUAACAUGUGCGUGAUAAACGACGCCUUCAAUGUGUUGAUGAAAAGCAUCGUCAUUUCUUUUUCCAAAAGUGGUGGUUGAACUUGAACAGCAAUCUCUCUCCACCUCUGUGCAUAUUGUCUGAAACUUUCGUUUGAUUUCUUUUCCAAGUUCGGCAAAGUGAUUCUAUCAGGCAUUAUUUCGGAUACAUGACUGUACUGUCUCAUCAAAGCCUGCGCCAAAUCCCUCCAAGUGCCAAUUUUUGUUCGGCUCAACUAGUUAUACCAUUUAGAUGCUGCCCCAAUGAGACUAUCCUAAAAACAAUGUAUUAAUAGCUGAUCAUUAUUAAUGUACCCAGUCAUUCUCCUACAAAACACUGUAAUAUGGGCUUCAGGGCAACUAGUCCCACUAUAUUUCUCAAAUUCUGGCAUCUUGAACUUAUAAUGGAGCACUAAAUCUGGGACCAGACUCAAAUCUUUUGCAUCUAUUCCACAAUAACUUUCAAUGUUUUCUAUUUCCUUAAACUUCUCUUCAAACCAUUUCCAUUUCUUCUCAAACUGUUUCGGCUAUUCUUCCUUUACUUUAUCUUUCUCAGCUAUUUCAUCAAAAUUUGGGAUAGCAAGAUUUACCGGGUUCUCACCAGGGUUAGAGCCUGAUCCCGCUUAGAAGUUCGUCGGUAUUGGAAUAUCGAUUUGAAACCGCUGAGGCUUUAUUGAAACCGAGGAUCUACGCGGAUGCACCUGAGUCUGAACCUGCACAUGCGAAGGCGUAAAGCUUGGAGGAUAGAUGGGUCCAUCCUUGUCUUCUUCUUCAUCAUUAAUCAUAGGACCUUUCCCUUUAUUUACUCCUUCAGUCAGUAAUUACGUCAACUCAGCCAUCAUGUCCUUUUGAGACUCUAGCAUCCUUUUUGUCAUGUCAUGUUGAAUUUUUUCAAAUUGCUCCUUCAUUUGCAUCUGUAACUAAUCCUGAAUUUCCUUUUGAAGUCGCUCCAACUUUUCUAAUCUUUGAUCCAUAAUUUUUGACUUUGCACGGGUACCGUAGCGGUGCUUGGUUGAUGAGUUUUUGUUGGUGUCCAGGUUAACUGAGGCAUAAUUUUAACCAAUUAAAACCCUUUUUAAUAAUCUUGAAUGCAUAUGAUGUCAUGUAAUGCAAAUGUAUGGAACGAAUGCAAAAAGGUGUCGAUUCUAAUCCAAUUUCUUUUAGAAAACUUUACUGAUAAACAAAAUUCUUUACAUAAAAUGGAUUACAAAUAUGAAUUUGCCUUAAUGCUCAAAGUUUUAACUUCCUUUAACAAUGAAGCUAACUCUUGACCCUGAUCUGAUUCCAGCUCAUACUUUGUGCUUAAAACGUCAACUUGAAUUGCCAUUGUUUGUAAAUGAUUUGCUACUUCACGAAUCUAUGACACGGUCUUGCCCAUAAUGUAAUCUCUGUUCUGAAUUUGAUUCUGCAAGUGAUAAAGUUGUUCCUUCCAAUGAUCUUCAUUUCCCUCCAAGAAUUCAAUCCGUUGUCCACAGCCUUGUAAUGUGUACUCCAAUUCUUCCAUCCUCUUUUUCAUUUCUUCAAUCUUGCACAAACUUGCCUUUAAUUCUACCACAGAAUUAUGACUUCUAUACAACGCAAACGACCUCUCGAGUUCUGCUAUUCUAUUUUUUAGUUCUGCUUGAUGGUUUUGAGUUUCUAACAUCUGUCGUGCUAGAGUCUCUUUCUGUACUUGUGUUUCUUGAAACUUUUUUUCCCACUGAUCGGCUUUGCUUCUUUCUUCCUAGAUCUCCUGUCGCCACUGCUCUGUAGUCUUUCCCAGCCCAGUAGUUCUCCUCGAUAGUCGUAACUUCUUGUAAUCCGUCUUUAGACUAUCUAGGUCCUCCUCUGCUUUAUUCUUCCCAUUUCCUAAUUUUUUAGCCUCUAAUUUUUGAACGUCAGCAUCUAACCUUAAAUGCAUCUUUUCCUCUUCCAACCGUUUUAUCUUCUUUUCAAGCUCUAAAUUCUAUUUUUUCGAAAUCUUGCUUUAUAAUUUCCAACUCCGAUGGGAUCACUUCUAAGUAAUCUUCCAUUGGUCGAACACCCUCUGAGUUUAACUCCAGAAUAUUAUCAUUAACUCUCUUGCUUCGCCACUCACUAUACUCAGGAAUCGUCAUUGAGCCCACAGAUAACCUUUUCAUCUUAUGAGCCUGAUUCCAUGCUUGAGAAAUUUCUUUUACUUCUUCUUGUAAUUAUCUCCUCGAUGCGAGAACUCACACUGAGCUAAACCAUGCGUUGCCGGCACAAACUGUCUUGAACCAUAUUGCCUCAGUAUAAGCAAAUGUGCAUAUCCAACAGCUCCCCAAAUUCCAUGCAACGGAACCCAAUGAAAGCUCUCGCAUCUGUACAGAAUUCUAUCAGGAAUCAGCUAAGGAGCUUUCCACUCAACAGCUUCCUCUUGAAGAUUUUGGAGAAUUGCAGUCCAAUUCUCUUACGAUAUGUCGUCCCUUCUUGGCGUAGCCACUAUCUCUUUUAAUGGAGGGUAAUGUUCGGAGAAAACCCGGUACGAAAUCCUGUUGACCUUCUAGAAAUGACUAUGAAACCAAGUUAGUAGCAACUGCGCACAACCUAUAAAUAUGCCCUCGCCAGCUCGCCUGCAUGCGUUCAAAGAUCUAAAUGUUUCAGCCAAAAUUGCAGGAACAGGCGUAACCCCUUUAUCCAGUCGGUCAAAAAGAUCAGCAACCGCCUCAUCAACAUGCCUCAGUGCUCUAGGGAAGAUCACCAACCAGUAAUUACUCAAAGCAAACACAUCUACUUUUUUUUUCAUAUCUGGAUGUGCUAGAAUCAAAUCUUGCAAAUUCCUUCAUGGGAUACAUUUACACUCACGCUUCUGCUUGAUCCUGGCCGUGAUUCAUUGCUCACUCAUUCCCGUAAUAUUCAAUAAUUUCUUCCAAAGUGCUGGGACAUAUGCGGCUCUGGAAUACGCUUUAUCGACCUGAAGCCUUGGGCAAUGCAGUAAAGCUGUAUAUUCCUCCACUGUAGGCACCAAAUCUACGUUCCCAAAAGUAAAACAGCUAUAUGCAGGAUUCCAAUAUUGAGUAAAGGCUCAAAAAAAAUGUUCAUCUACCUUGAUGUCAAAUAGGUACGGCAAGUCCCCAUAAUUAGAGUAGAACAACUGCUUGGUCUCAUCAUUCCACCGAUCCCAUAUUUCCCUUAACUCUUGAAGGUUAUUCUACGUCACACUAAUACGAGUGUAGUCCCACAGCUCUGACACAUAUCCCUUAGCUAAACUGUCUCCUUUCUCCGAUUGCCUUUUGUCUGACCAUAUACGAACAAUGGCAUUGUCUUCCACUUUAUCAAGAAAUUUGUUUGCCAUGAAAAUUUUCUAAUUUAGUAACUGAACUUGAAUCGACACUCUUUGAAAUAUGCAGUGACAUGCAAAAACAAAAUACAAGUCAGUACAACAAAAACAAAAUUCAAAGCAGGUAUAAGAAACACAAACACUUAUCUGGGCAAUCACUAGAGGUUGGAAUAAUUCUAACUAGGUCGAGCUCCUAAGUCCACUAUAUGGAGUUUGGUUUUAAAGUUAAGGUACCUGAACCAGCAGAUUCAUCUAUCUUCACCCAUUAUAGGCUCAUACAGACCGAGUUCGGUUCAGGGGAAUACAUUUCCCUAUGGCUGCACGGAGAUGAAAAUCUCACAAAGACAUAGGUACGGAUGUUUUCCGAAAGUGAUCCACUAUCCUGCACAGAGGCGAAAACCUCAUGAAGGAGUAGUUUCUCCCUCCCACUUAAAAGGGUAAGACUAAACAGUCUUUAUGCAAUAUGAUGCCAAUGUAUAAAAGCGCAAUGUACAAUGAUCAUACUAAUAAAUGCAAAGAGAAGAUCGUAAAAUUUUUUUAAAACACAAUUUUAAUUUUCGACAAUAAGACAAAACAAUCAAUUUUACGGCCUGACUCUCUGGUAUCCUCAGUGGAGUCGCCAAGCUGUCGAAACCAAUUGUUUUUUGAAAAUCGGGGAUUGAUUUUGAAAAUAAAAUGGGAGUCGCCACUGAUCUUUUGUUGAGGUGUGAUCGGAUCACUUUGAAAAUAAUUUUAGGUCUGCGAAUUUUGAGAAAGCAAGUUCAGGAGUCGGCUAUUCACGAGGAAGGGUUAGCACCCUAGUAAUGCCGAAAAUUGGUACCAAAUUGAUUGUUUUAUGUCUUAGGGUGGAAGUUUUUGAAAAGAUUUUUUUUUAAAAUACGAUCCUUUUAAAGUUUAAAUUUGGAUAAACCAAAUUGAAUAACAAGACGUACUUAUUUUGAAUAAACAAAUUGCCAUACUCAGUAAGUUAGAGUGCAACAAUUCAAUCAUCAAAAUUAAGUACGUUCCCUUUUUUUUAAACGAGUUUAAAGAAGGUUAUUUCAUUAUUUAAGUCAAUCGAGAAAUCAGAAUCCAGUGAGUUAGGGUUCAAUUUCUCGAAAUUCUUAAACCUCAAAUAUUGCCUUUUAUUUUUUAAAAUCGAGAUAACAAAAUGCCACAUCCAAUAAGUUAGGAUCCAACAUUUUGUAAUCUUAAGAGCUUUAUUUUAAUAACGGUAUGGUUUUAAUAAAAUGGAAACUUGAUAAUAUAAAUCCAUCGAAGAGAAUUGAAGCCCAGUAAGUUAGGGCACAAUUCUCUCUAGAAUUAUUAAGCACCAAGCCCUUUUUUGGAAUUUUGAAAUAAAAUGAUUAUAACGUUUUAAUGGAAUGCAAUUCUUACAAACAAUAUAAUUGAAUAGCAAUAUACGAAGCGAAUGAUGAAUAGCAAGUUAAUUCUACAAUUUGGAGCAACCACAUAUAUAAUACAUCGACGUUAAUAAUCAAAUAACCUAGUAAACAAUCUUACAAAUAACAAAAUGAGAAUAAUUAAUACAAAAAUAAUUUAAUCACAAGUAAACCAAUCAACAUAAUUGAAAUGAAUAACAAUUUUAAAGCGUAGAAUAAAAUUUUAGAAAUUACAAGUUACAAUUCAUUUUAUACACAUAUAUAUUAAAAUAAUUCCAUAUCAUGAAAAUCUAAAAAUGAUGCCAAUGAAUUUAGAACAUAUUAAUAAUAAUUUAAGAGGGUAAAGUAUUAUAUUUUAGAAAUCAUAUCAAUAAUAAUUUUGAAAAAUAUUAAGCCAAUAUUACAAUACUUUUAAAAACAAUGAAUUGGUAUAAAACUUGAUUUUUUAAAACUUUUGAAAUCAAAAUUAAAUAUGCAAAACAUUUUUUUUUGAAAUUGAGAACAAUAAUCAACAAAUUUCAAAUCGACACUUAAAUAAAAUUUGAAUGAUGAUAAAUUAGAACAAAAUUAAAAUGCAAUUGACUCAAAAUAUUGGUGUAUAAUGAAUAAAAAAAUAAACAAAAAAAGUAAUAAUUUAUUACAUUUUGAACUAUUAUAAUAAAUUUAAACACUAUUAAAAAUAAAUAUUACAAAUAAUAUUAAAUAUUACACUAUACGAAAGUAGGAUUUAAUUAAUUAAAAAUAUUGUGGAAUUUAAAAGGAAAACUGAAUUUGUAUUAAAUCGAAUCGGUUUCAACAUUGAAGGACUAAACUAGCAAUUAAACGCAAGCAUUAAAAUAAUUACAAUCAACCACAUAAAACGGUACCGUUUCAAGUUGGACCUGAAUGAAAACAAGUUAAAUGCACCGUACAAAUUACAAACAAUUAAAGAAAUCAAAUCGUAAUCAUAGUAAACACACAGGGACCUAUUUAACAAAUAGACCAAUUAGUCCAGCCUGCGCGGAUUCUACGCAGGGUCGGGUCACCGCCUGGAUCUGGUCAUCAAACGAUACCGUUUUGAAGCUAUUAUGUUAGCAGCAAACGGCGACGUUUUAGUCCCGUGUUUUAAAAACUAAAAACCCUAAACGUUUCCAUUUCAGAAAACCGAAAGAGAACUAAUGUUCUCUGCGCCGUUUUGCGCACUGAGGGGGCUCAAGUGAUCUCCGAUCCAGACCUGUUCCCCAAUGGCAACGGAGGAGGCCCGAAUCUCGGCACAAGGUACCUUUCUCCCCUUCUUACUACUAUUUCUAUCUUUAAUGAAAAUCAGUAGAUGCCUAAACGAAAAAAGAAACGAAAUACGAAUGGAAAGAAGAAAAGAAAAUCAAAAAUCACCUUUUUGAUAUCUUUUGUAUUUUUUUGAAUGCGUAAUCUAUUUACAGUGUUUGAAUGGCUUUCUUAUAACCCGAUUUUGCAGAAAAUAAAAUAAAAAAUAAAUACAAGGUUCCCCUAUUCUGUUUUUUUUCUAUUGGCUGCUACCUCCGUGUGUUUUUGCAGGUAUUCGGCCAGCCUGGUGGUACGGAGGUGGCCGUACGGAUGCGUGCGUGGCUGGGAAGCGUGGUGGUGCACGCGCGAGAGGAGCCUGACCUGCCUGCGGCGCAAAAUGUUCCAGAAACCCUAGGGUUUCUGGAUGUUUCAAGCAAAUGGGCCACUUCGAGUUGGGCUAGGGUUUGGGUCUGGUGUUGGGUUACUCAGGUUUGGGUAUUAGGCCUGCUAUCGGGUUUGGAAAAUGUAUUUUGGGUUUGGAUAAUCGGUUAAUUAUUGUAGCUGGACUGAUAUUAUUGGACUUUUAAUUUUUAUUUGGCUUUAUAUAUAUUUUAAAUAUUUGUGGGCCGGGAAAAUUUGGGUUAUUACAUUAUACAUUCAUUUGCUUAAUGUCGUGAGACAAACUCAUCUAGGUCUCGAGACUAGUGGUCUAUGUCUCGAGAUAAGGGCACGUAGAAACUAAAUAACUUUUGCUCCGCUUUAGGUAUCGAGAAAUGAAAACAUCGAAGCUAAGAUAGGAAAAUAGGGGAGGUCUGUCUCGAGACCUAGUCUCGAGGCUUGAGGAAUUUUUCCUUGAGACAUGAAUUUCAUUGUCUCGAGACAUAUAAACAUCAAAGCAAAAUUUUAAAAACUUAUGAUGAGGCUUGUUUCAAGAUAUAGAGUUCCUGUCUCAAGAAAUAAUGUUAAAAUUUGACAAGUUGUUGAAUUUGAUUCCUAUGCUCAUAUUAAACCACAUUUAGACUCGAAUGAUUAAAUUGUGAUUGAAAUGUGUUAAUGUGGUUUAAUUUUAUGAAAUGACAUGUAUGUUUAGUAUGAGUUGCUCCAACUAACAAAUGUGACAUCUCAUACUGGGAUCCGAUUAUCGGGUUGGAUGUGGGGUGUUACAAGUUUGACCUUUUAUUUUAUUUUUAAUUUUUUAAGGGUGGGGGAAACAUGUAGCAUUCAUUUGAUAAAAAUGGAGUAACAGCUCAAAGGAGUGAAAAACAAAAUGGGAUAUAGAGGGGAGAAGCAGAAACCAUUUAAAGCAAAAGGAAACAUGUAGUAGGGUAGUCCUUACACUACCAUAAGUUUAUUGUACACCAUAUUAAAAUAUCAUAAAAUGAUUUGGCACACUAUACCAAAAACUAACAUUUUAUUCGCCCAGUUUGAAAAAUAAUUCCAAUGUUCUUAAUUAUUUAGGCAAAGCAAUUGGGUUAACGAAUAAUGAUAACACUCUAUCUUUGGUUUCUUUAUCUUCAAUAGCAUGACCAUCGCCAUUUUGGUACAUCAAUAAAGAUAUUCUUGCAAGGUUCAUAGCAACCUCAAUAAACGUACGAGAGAAAGGAGAUUUAGCCAUUUGGUCUUCAUUCAUCUUCUUCCAUGUUGCAUCAAUUAAUUUUCUUAUGUGGUCACGAGCUUCUUCUUCAGAUGCUCCACUUUCGUUCAUGUAACAUUGA